rnacentral:lncRNA from 1 species
GCACGAACAUUACAGAUGGGAUAGUCAUGUGGGCAGCAGCUAUAGUGGUCAUCACAGCAGGUGGCAGCCUCAAGCGGGCAGCAUCCCCAUGCAAAGCAAGAGUUACCAUACUCAAAGACACAGCAGCAAGUGUUGCUCUCAGGGCAAGAGUAAUAAUUGUCACACACAGCAGGAGGCUUUGUUGGAGAUGGAGGGGACGGUCCAGGGUUGGGAGGAUUUUGGCCUUUCUUUAUGGGAUAUGAGGCCUCCAUGGCAAUUCCACACUUGCCCGUGAGAGUGCCAGCCACGUUACGCUCCAUCCUAAUAUAGCCAGCCUCUCCCCAGCUACUGCCCCAUGAAUUCUUCACAAUCCAGUAAUCAGCUCCAUUUUCUGUGCCAUAUCCAACAGCAGUAACACCAUGGUCCAGAGAUGUCCCACAUCUUCCCGUAAAUAUACCCUGAAAAUUUGCAAAGACAGAAAAAUAUACUUGAGACUUCCUUAAAACAGAUCAGACACACACAAGACUCUUCCUGAUCCUGUUUAGAAACCAUUAGAAAUACAAUAAUUUUUGUUCAAAUACCAUCCAGUAUUGUCUCAACCAUAUCUUUUCAGAACUGCAAAAUGCAAAUACUUUGUAUCUAGAUAAUAGCAACAUCCCUAAAUCUAAAAUGUGACAAGUGCCAUGAAGAGAUGAAAGUUACCGAUUCAUAUAACUGGAAUGCCAUGCCACCUCCUUCAAUGGCAACACUCACGGGUUGAUUUGCAACUGCCUUUUGCAAAGCUUUCUCGUCAUUUAGGGGAACAUCUUCAUAGUCAUCAAUUGUAACUACUUUGGCAUUUUUCUGACAAAGCCAAAAACCAAAGGCUUAGAAUGAUCCUCCAUUAUAUAGUAUGGCAUUUCUUCGUAAAACAAUAGAGUAAAAAUACCUACCCGAUAUGUGUCACAGCUACCAUCAAUGGCUUUGUAGGGGUAAUCUUCUUCUGUGUCAAUACCUCCAUUAUCAAUAAUGAACUCGAAUGCAUAGUCCAUCAAACCACCAUUACAUCCUUCAUUAUAUGAUGUAUCACAAUCCACCAACUCCUGCUCGGAUAGUGAGAUCAGGCUACCUGUAACAAUCUUGUUUAUACCCUCUACAGCUGCAAUGGUUGAAAAUGCCCAGCAACUCCCUUCAUUCAAGCGAGAUACAAUCAAAUAAUGGUUAGAAUCACACGACACAGAGAGCAACAGAUAAUUUGCUUUCUGAAUUUCUAACCAAGUUAAGUACUUAGACAACUCAAUAUUUGAAUAUGUUUUGUAUCUACAUCAGUUGAUUUAUUACCUACAAAAGUUAGGUAGGGGAAAAAAAAUCAUCACUUCAUAUAAUUCUGAGUUAUUAAGUUUGUUCAGAAUGAUGGAUUGAGGUUGAAUAAGACCGCAAAAGACUUGUAGGACAUAAAAUGUUUAAUAUCUCUCAUUGACAGGUUUUACCAUACUACAACUUUAAUGAUAAAUAAAAAAAAUAAUUAACUUGCUACUACAGGACAAUGACUAAUACAAGUUAUGGCGUAAUAAUUAUUAUCUAAGGACUAAUCCCUAAAAUCUCUUAGAACGGAACAAGAUAUCAAGCUCGAAGCUCAUAGGUGGUGAAAUGAAUUACCAAUAUCCUGUACAAAUAAACAAAAUAAACGCACUUAUUUUGUUCAGAGCUUUAAUAAUUCUGCAGAUGCAGCCAACUGACACACUGAUAAGCGGCCCAGCCCACUGACACGUAUUAAAAUUUUGUGGUGUUACCAACUAUCACCAAAAGUGAUAGGAAUACGAUUUUCACGUCUACUGAACACAAAAAAAAUAUUACUACAGCUUUUAAAAAGGUCCGCCAAUCUGUACCCAAUGGCAGCUAUGUUCAACCAACAAGCUCUGGCCACGUCAGGACAGCCAAACAAGAUUCCAUCCAGACAGUUCUUUUUAUUUUCAUUUGGAAAACAUUUUCUCGUGAGGGAAAACAGAAAAUAUCUCGAGCCUUCCGUCAGAAGAUAUCUUCUUGUUUUUCACACUUCCUAAUUUCUUGUCAGUUUUUCUCUUUAUUGUUUUUCGACAAAACAAUAAAAAAGGAAUACUCAAUUUGGACCAUUGAUUAUCACAGUGGCCCAAGCCUCCGAACUCUCGCCAAAAGUCCGAGAACGAAACAGCACUUUAAAAAAAUAAUCAUAAUAAUAGUGUCGGAGAAAAAAAGAAAUUCACGAAAACCAGAUUCUAAUUGAUGGAAAAGAUUAAAAAAUAACAGUAAUAGUCCUAACCGGUCAACUUAGCACAACUGCCCCCAACCGGAAGCAGUGCAAGAUUCUUCUAACUCUAAUCAUCCUUAAAAUACCAAACAUACCCUUUCCUUUCCUUUCCUUUCCUCUCCGCAAUCGAUUCAUUCAUAAUUUUAAGAUAAUAAUUAAAGUACUGCAGGUAACGAAUAAAAUCUAAAAAAGAAAAAGUAAAUGAAAACAAUAAAAAAACUGACCACAGCUUCCUUGAUCUUUAACUUCAGCGACAGCUCCUUUCUUCCUCCAAUCAACAGAGUCCGGCAACGCCUCGCCGACACGUGGCAGAUAACGGUUGCUCCUCUUUGAUUUCAAGGAAGUCCUUUUAGCACCAAAGCGUGCACCCAGAUGCAUGGACCGGUACUCCUCGUUGGUCAAAUCAGCAAACCGGUUCAACCCAACCUUGUAGGUCCGGUUCUCUGAGUUAUGUUCAUCAAUAAACCUAAGAUUUUCCUUAAAGAUCUCAAACCUCUUCUCUUUUUCACCCAAAGCGUUAUAAGCCUUGCCAUGCUUCACGAGCCAGGCCUCGAACAUAGCCAUAACCUCAUCGUCGGUCCUCCAGCUGCUAGAUUUUGACUCAUGGGUUUUAUCAUAAGAUACAAUCGACAUGUCCAAGGCAGAUGAAACAGUGAAGAGAAAAAGUAAAAACAUGGCCAUGGUUGGUGAUCUAAACAAACCCAUCUUUUGAGAAAAGAACUUUUUUUUUUUCUUUUUGGGAGAAGAAGAUGGAUUGAUGAGGCAGAGUGUGAGGGUGAGGCAGGUGGUGGGUUAUUAUAAAGGAAAUUGAAGAGGCUAUUAAGUAAAUAAAUUAAAUGAGGAGGUGACAAACGUGGAGUAAAUUUUCAGGAUAUUUUAGUCUAGAGAUAUAUUAUGGGGUAAAUGAGAGCUGACAAAUAAGAAUUGGACAACUAAGAAGCAUGGGGGCGAUAUGCGAUAGGCUGGAGUGAAAAGCAAAGCGACCACUCCACUCGCUUCUGUCCAUACAAAUUUGGAGCGCGGUGUCAGCAAGUAACGAAUUAUCGGGGUUUGGUUUCACGCGCUUCCUUUCUUUUCCUUUCUUUUCUCGUUAAGACCCCUGUACUUUGACUUAAUUAUACUCGUUUUUGUUGUUAGACAAAGUUUAUCAGAAAAUACAAAAUAUCUGAAUGUGUUAAUUGCUGUAUUAAAAAAUCAAUCAAAAUGUUUUUCUUUUUUUUUUAAUAACUUCACUGCACUCCUUAAAGGCCUAAUAUCUCUUUUAAAUACACCAGUUUCUUAUAACUGAAAAAAAAAGACGAGAAAUUAUUGCUCGAUUCCUUUUAAAUGUCCAAAAAAAUUUCUUUACAGCCGAAAAUUCUUUAAAAAUAUGAAAAAUUCUCACCUUCAAUAAAAGAAAAUUAUCUUAGUUGUGACUUUAUUAUAAUAUUUGGUCCAUUAUUUAUAAAAUGGAAAAGAAAAAUCUAAAAUAAAUAUAAAAAAACUUAUUUUUUCGUAUGAUAAAUCUAUAAAUGAUUUUGAAAUUGCUAAAUUUAUAUAGUUAAUUAUAUCACCAUCGCAGGUCUAGCCAAAAUAAGUAGGAAAAUUGUUUAAAAACCCUUAUUCUACUAAAUUUAUGGUAGCUUGACAUCAAACUUGUGAUUUUUAAAUUUAGAUUGAUGUUAUUAUUAUUUUGUUUGAAUACCACAUGUCUGCAUCCAUAUGCGUAUUACAAAAAGAAAAAAAAUAUAUUAAUAUUUAUAGUCAGAAAUUUAUUAAAAUAAUUUAAAUCAAUGUAUUUAUUUAAUUUUGUUAAUUGUUGGAAGAGUUGGCACGCCUGUCAUUUGUAGUCUGUGGGACACAAAAGAUGCCUUCGAUGAACGGGAGACUGAAACUGCUCUUUUGUCUUAUCCGGGACCCACUUAAACGUUUGGAGAUAUUUCUGUAAAUUUGCAUCAAUUAUUCAAUUAUUUCAUCUUCAAUAUUUCUCAUCAAUACCAAACAUGUGGACAGUGGAUGCUCUUUGAUGCGACUUUUUAAUUUAUAUUUUUGACUUUUGUAUUUAUUUAUUUUUUUAUAAUCCUCAGCCGUUUCCUGAUUUUCUAUUUUGUUUAAAAAUGAUAACUAAGCAAAUUCUCAUACCAAAAUAUUCCAUGGGUCCUACUAAUUACCAAAAAAAAAAAAAAAAAACCAAAUUUUCAUUCAGCGAUGAGUAUUGAAUAUGCGACCCCCUUUUAUGUAUCUUAUUUUUCCUGAUAAAUGUUUUAUUUUGUACCCCAAAAAUAAAUGCUGAGUCACCGACCUAUAAUAAUUCAAGUCACACUAACCAAUCACGAACCAACAAAAAAACAAGAAAGCAAAUCCCCUAAACUACUUAAAUGCUUUUCUCAAUCACGUGCAAUUUUGGGAAUUACGUAAAAGUACCCAUUAUAGACAUUAAUUACAUAAUUAGAGUGUCUCAAAUUUUUAUAAUACAAAUUCUAAAUUUUUUAUUCUAAAAAUGUAUCUUAAAUGAUGUGUUAUUAAUUGAGUGGUUGAUAAUUCUUUAUAAGAUUUAAGUGAAUUAAUUAUAUUAUUUCACCAACCACUCAAUUAAUGGCACAUCAUUUAAAAUAAUUUUUUUAAAUAAAAAAUUUAAAAUGUGUAGCAUUACUCUUUUUAUAAUAGGUUCCUCACUAGUAACUCGAAACAAGGGGCAAAACGAACGGUUCCUUUAUUGCUUCCGCAAUCCCCAUUGAACGCUGCGUGAGGUUGCUAAGGCCUGGGAAGGGAACACGAGCAGGUUGUUGAGAACAUUAAUGCUUCAUAGAGUCCUUUCCAGCUUGUUAUCAGCAGUCAAGUUAGAAACGCCUCUCUGCAUUAGUCAAGUUAGAAAUUGAAUUGGUAGAUGAACACCUAACAAUUGUUAAAAUUCUAUUGAGUAUUAAUCAAAUUAAUCUAUUUUUUUUCUAUAGUAGGUACACCACCGAAAUAAUUAGUUAAAGAGUAGCGUACUCCCAUGGCUGAUGGUGAUAUCAUGAAUUCAUGAUUACGAAACAAGCCAAUAUGAACGCAGAGAAUUUAUAAAUAAUUACUAUUUACUACCCAUAAACACGAUUAAAUGUAUCUACCAACUUACCAUAAAAAUAAACAUUUAAGGGGAAAAAAAUCCACGGGUAGAGUACCUCCCGAAUUUUCACAUGAUCCAUCUAUCAAUCGACUUUUCGCUUUCUCUUUCAAUCAGAGCCCCACAAUAAAUAAUUAAGGAACAACAAAGAUGACUUGCUUUUCAAGUAAAUGAUGGGGCCAUAGCAUAGCCCAUGGCCCACCGAAUGUGAAUGGAAUCUCUACGAAUCUUUAUUUAAUAUUAGUUAUUCAGGAAUGGACAAUUUACUGAUGCCAUCGAGGCUGGUAAAUGAUAGGAACGAUUAGAUGGUGAUAACGUCAUUUUCCUUCGAUUUAUACAAGUCAAUUUGUACGUGGCUUGAUUAUUUUCCUUACGUUUUUCUUUUCUUAUUUGCUUUGGAUACUGAACUAUGAUUUUUCAAAACGAACCACACAUUUCGUGUGAAGAUAUUUGCCAAAAUGACAGUUAUAUUUAAUUGGACUUGAUAAUGAUUCAAAUCCGAGUUUGGUAGAAGUUGUAUUAUGUUUAAUUUUAUAAAAUUGAUUUCCAUAUUAAGGAUGUGUUUGAAAUUGAGGUUAAAUAACUAUAAUUUAAAAGUUAUAUUAUUAAAAUAUUUAAUAAAUAUUAAUUGUUGUAAUUUAAAAGUUAUAUUGAUAUAAUUUUUCACUUAUAUAAUGAAAAAAUUAUUAUAUUUUUAAUAAUUUUAUUAAAAUUAUUAUAUAAAAUUUAUAUUUACUAUACAAAAAAAAAAAAAAAAAACUAUGCAAUCCAUAAGUUAUAAAUGGAUUUGUGUGGGAAUCAUAUCUGAAAUUCUAAAAAUCAUAUUCAAAUAUUAGUGAUUUUGAUUUUGUCAAAAUAAAAAUUCAUUAUAAGGCAGAAAAAUAGAAAGACUUAUUUAACUUUUUUUUUUCUUUUGAACAUAGUUACCGUUAAAAAAAAAAAAAUUCAUUAUUGUUCAUUCCACUCCACCUAAAAUGAAAUUAAAUGUUUUCCUCGAGAUUAAGCCUAGACUUCUUAUUUUUAUUGCAAUAGUCAAGCAAAUUUGACUAUCGCUUAAGAAUAAAAAGCCUAAUCUUAAUUAGGUUUAAUAUUAGAACUGAAUCUCUCAAGGAAGGGCAAUAGUAUUAGCAGAGUUAAGGUAUGUUAAAUAUUAAAACAAGUUAAACAAAUUUUUCUAUAUGUUUUUGAAAAAAGAAAUCAUAAUUAGCUGAGCGCGCGUCUUUACUAAUUCAAUAAAAAAAUCAUUUUCAUAAUUUAAACACUUUUGAGUUUAGACAUUAGUUGGAUAACUAUUAAUAAUUAAGUUAUUUUCAUUUAUUUGAUUUAUUUAUUGAGUUAAAAAAUCUCACAUAAUUAACAAAAAUCUAAUUUUAUAUUUAUAACAUUAACAAAAAUGGAAAUACCUGUUAUUAUUAUUCUAAGAAAAAAAAUCAAAAUUGCGGAGUAUUUAUUUAGAUAAGAUGCACACCUUUGAGGAGUAUUUAUUUUGACGUAUCUGGAUAUAUCCAUCAAUCUUUUUAGAUAAAAUACAAGAUAUGCAUUUGUAUGUUAAAAGACCGUAUACGUGGACGGUCUCUGAUCACUCUCCAGUAGUAACUAAUUACAAGAAGCAACAAAUUCUGCUUGCACAUGGAACGAUGGAACGGGACGUCUCCUCUUUUUAUUUUUUAAUGCACUUUUUGAUAGCGAAAUUGAACUUAUUAGAUUCAAAACUCAUGAGUAUGAACCUGGGACCCACUCACCCCGGCUUGUUCUCUUUAUUCACCUUGCUGGGCCCCACUCGGAUGUCUUAUAUCGCUUGCAGUACGGCCCUACUCGUAAUUGACAGUUUGAGACGCGAUCAGCCGUUGAUCAACGAUCAAAUUAUGAAUCAGACGACGAUGGCAAUUGAACACAGAAUUGCAGGUUCUUGGACAGAACUUACAGCAUGAAUGAGGGUGUGAUGGUAAUUUUCGCUUGUAGAGAAUUUGAUCUUUGAUCAUAAUUCUUUCUUCCUUUGUCAAUUUGCUCGAGAGGCGAACUUGUCCACGUCUGUUGAGCUGGCUUAUAAUGUUAAAUACUCACCCGUCUCUCUAUCCAAUACGAAAAUAUUUUUGAUCUCACAUAUCAUGAAUUCAACAAACAAAGCAAGACAGUCAAACCACGCAAUCACUUGGGAAAAAAAUAAAAAAAAAGAUAAACAGAAUCUUGCAUAUUGCCAAAGAAGGCAAAUGCUAUGUUACAAUUAAUGUAACAUAAAUACUUAAUAAUAAUCAUAUAAAUUAUGUGGGUCUAUUAUUUAUGUGGUUGUUGUUGAGUGUGUAUGUUACAUUAAUUGUAACAUAAGGACUCCCACCAAAGAAUAUUAGAAGGGUUAAUGAAGAGCAUAAGUCAUAAAUUUCAAUUAUAGCAGACACGGGCAUCAUAAGGUUAAAAUAUAAGAUUACAUGUGUUAUAAAUGAACAUUCUACCUCGAUAGCUGCAAAAUCUAAUAAUAUAACGCUCAAAAAAUAGAACGUCACCCCCCUAACAGAUUGUGGAAUCAAUUUGCCCAUGAGCUGCCUAAUUAUAAAAAAAUAAAAAAAACUAGUUGAUGAUGAUAAGCACACUAAAUUUUUUGUUCUAUUGGUAACAAAACAUCGCUGGCGAUAUUAAUUUCUCACAUGCCCACUUGGACAAAAAUUUCUUAGACCUACGUUUUCAUCUAUACUCAAGCCUCAUUGAAGUACAAUCAUAAAGUAUAAUACAAUUAACGAUGAACAAAAUGGUUCAACACAAUUUAGUUUUACACCAUGCAGCAACCAACCAUCCGAGCUACAUUAUAUUAUUAUAAGCAAACUAUGUUUAUUCGCCAUACAGAUUACAGACAACAUACUUCACACCUUUUUGCAAACAUCAUCACAUAAACAUAAAAGGAACUUUGAUAUGGAAAUACAAUCAAAUUCAAACUCUGCUUGAUUUGGAGUUGCUCUGUGAAUCAACACCGCAGACAAUAGGCACCGGCAUAAUAUCUUGCUUUUGCCCCCUCUUUGGAAGUUCACAGAUGUAAAUGCCGUCUUCACCCACAAGGUCCUGAAACAGAGAGCUCCCAUCAUGGAAAUCCAUUUCCACCAUCCAUCCUUCUGCAUAAGCCUUCCAGGCCAUUUCUACCAUUGCUCGUUCUGUAAGAUAAUCUUUUUGGCUAACUCAAGUCCAAAAUCCUUCGGGACAUCUGUUGGAACACGCUGCAGUGAUGUACAAAGACUAUUCAGAAGCAACUAUAUAAAUAAAUCAAACUCACUUAAAGAGUCUUUCUACAUUAUGAGCAAAGAUGAUUUACCAGGCUCUUCCGAACCCCUAACCCUGCUUUUGCCGCAAAAUAGGGGUUUCCACACUGGGAAGCUGUUCUCUCUUUCCUUUUAAAAUCAUUAGUUGAUUGAGAUAUUCCAUCCCUAGCUGCAGUCAUAACCCUCAGAAUCAAAUUAACACUAGGUUACAUUUAUCUCACAUAAAUCCACGCACGCAGCUGCAUGACAUUAACAAAUGCACAUAGAAUGGAACAACAUUUAAAUUACGAACAAUAAAGAAUAUUCUAACAGGUACCUUUUCCUGCGCUGAUCUUCUUCUUCUCCUUCAACAUAAUCUUCGUCACUGGCACUGUUAUUACUAGCAUCCUGAUAUUUUUCUUCUUCUUCUUCUUCUUCUUCCUCAUCAUUCUCAACCUUAAUCUCUUCUAUUAAUGUUCUCUUCUGGCAUCCUAUCUCCCAAAUAUUUUAACAUUGAAGUCAUAUUCACCAUUGUAUUGGAACAGUAAAAAGUCUCCAGUAUCUAUAGAAUUAUCUUUAGAAAACUUUCGUCAACCAUUUAGAAAAUACACUCUUUUAUCUCUAUAACCUACAUCCACAUGUCAAAGUUUCCCCAUUUCAUUACUGAGGAAGACCUUCUCAGGUAUCAAUCUCCAAGGAUGCUCUAAUAGCAUCGGGAAUUUUCAUAACAGAGUUUCAUUUUAAUCACAGAAAGAAACUACUUUUUUUUUUUUUUUUAGUUCUUAUUCUUAUGUAAUUUUACUCUUCAUCUUAUGUGAGUUUUAAAAUUCAUGGAGUUAUCUAAACAUAUUUUGAAAUGAAUAUAUGCCUGACAGAGCACUAUUUUCCACGGUUGACUAUAUGACGCCCAAUUUCUGCCGAUAGCUGGAGCAUAGUUCAUGUUGUCAUGAUCCUACUUAUUAUAACCUCACUAAAGAACUAUGAUCCAUCCCAUCAGCUUUUUGCAUGUAUAUAUCAAAAGACACAAUUAAAAGCACACAAAGAAUGUAUACAACAACCCAACCGAAGAAUACGGGGCACAUUGCAAAUGAAAUAAUAUUAAACAGAGGAAAAGGGCUGAUUUUAUUUAUUUAUUUUUAUUUUUUUCAAAUGAGUCACGUACUCUUCUGGAUGGGCCUAACGGAAACUUGAAAUUUUCCCUGAACAUAAUUUAUGGGGCAGUGGGUUUUUUUUUGUAACCUGUUGCUUUCGCUCGUUAAAAGGUCUUUUGUUUUUUUUUUGCCCUUUUUGGGAUUAUUAUUAUAAUUUUUGUCCUCUUUUUUUCUUUGGGCUUUAAAAUGGGAUGAUUUGAAUCCUGAAACAUGCUUGGUGUACAAAUGAAAGAGGCAGAUAAUCUUACUCCUUCUAGUGACUGUUGCCAAUUGCCAUUUUGAUGAGAAUGAAACUGUGUCUGUCUGUACUCUAUUUUUAGCUUGUAGUUCUAGCGCGCGCGCUGUGGGGCCACGUUAUCGACGUGGAUUCUUUUCGGAUAACAUAACUGGUUGAUUAUAUAUAUAUAUAUUUAAAAAAAAAGAAUAAAUUAUAACAAAAAUAUAUCCCUCAAAUUGUACGAGAAAGGUGUUAUUUGGGUGACAAUAGUACCGAAUUUGCAAAUUGGGCUGGAUAAAGUUUCUCUAAUGAUCCAACCCAAAUGAAAAAAAUUAAAGAAAAAAAGUCAAAAAGGAAAUAAAAUCUGUUUUCUUCCUCCGCCAGUUCCCCACCUCUUCCCCCGGAAAGACAUUGUGAAAGAAGCUGCCAGAGAAUAUUAUGUAGAAAUUUCUAAAAAGAAGUAGCUUGAUAGUCAACACAAAAAUUCAAAACUCAAUCAAAUCAAAAGACCAAGCUGAUUUUUUAUUUAUUAUAUUUAGAAAAUAAAGAGAAGUUAGGAGGAAAAAAAAAAAAACAGUAUAAGAGGGUACCAAUCCCAAUUCCCAAAUUUCCAUACAACUUCAUUGAUAAGAUUUACCUUUAGUGUUUGAAAAUUCGAAAUUGGAAUUAUUUCUGCUUGGAAUUUUUCUUUUUGACUUCAGGAAGUAGGCGUUGGACUCUCUUAUGCGCUGAUUAUGAUCUUUUAAUUAAUUUAGCAGACAAGGGAAAGAUUAGCAAACAUUUAUUAGCAAGCCAAAAAUUAAAUUGUAAAUAGUCAACAAAAGAAGAAAGCACGAUUCGAACAGAAUAAUAAAUUGUGUUAAUAGGCGGCCAAUACAUUUACUACUUGUGGAAGAAUAACGGUUGGACACGUGUUCUUUUCUCCUUAUCGAGUCCGAUCCGAGUUUUGGUGUUGCCCGGGACCGGACCGGAUGAGAGAAAUACAAGACCGGAUCCGGGUUAAAACCUGAUUUUUUCGGGUGCGGUCCAGGCUUGAGCCCGGCACCUUCCGGUUUCAGGUUUUGAUCUGAGCUUUCUAAACCUGCAUGUGAUAACUUCAAAUUUUUUUUUUCAUUUCUCUAAUAAUGUAAAUUUAAAAAAAAUAAUAAUCAAAUAAACUCAUUCAAUCUCAAACUUUAAAAAAGAAAAUAGUCAAAUACAAAUAUAUAACACACUAACAAUGCAAAUUUUGCACAAAUGAUAAAUUAAAAUUAUUUCAAUCUACUUUCUAAUACCUAAAUUCAUCCAAUUUCUAACUUAAACUCAUUCAAUCUAUAUAUAAAAUAAAUAAAUUAAAUUCAACAACACAAUAAUCACACAAUAAAUUUAAAUAACAUCCAACAUAUCAUAAAUUCAUAAUUAUAUAUUUAUAUAUAAUAUAUUUAUAUUUUCUUUCUUUUUUUUUAAAUUUAUUAAAAAACCGGGUCCGGUCUGGGUUCCGAAUUUUUGGUGUUGAACCCGGACCCGGGCUCGGAAAUGUCCGGAUUUGAGAAUUUCAAACCCGAGUCUGAUUUUUAUGUGCAUGCGGUCCGAAUUUUGUCCGGACCGGAUUGGCCGGGUCCGGUCCGGGCGGGCUUGUUUGACACCCCUACCCAUAUUCAAGUCAUUUCAUCUUGUGAUCUCAAAGUUUGUCACCCUUUUUGGAGGAAAAUAUAUAUUUUUUCUUCCUUUUGAUGCAAAAUUUCAGAGCAGCAACUUAUAUAAUUGCUGUCUAGGGUCUGAUCGAAUAAUUUGGAAGUAAAUUUUUUUAAUUGAUUUCUUAAGUUCGAAUAUUAGGAUAAUUGAAUCAUUUUUAAGUAAACUUUUUAAUUGAUCUCUUAAGUUCGAAUAUUGGGAUGAUAGGGGGUUAAAUGUAUCAAUUUGAGAUUUUUUUUUCAUCCCUAUAUUAAAAAAUUUAAAUAUAUUCAGCUAAUUGUUUUAUGUCCUUUUUUUCUUUUUCUGCUCCCUUUUUAAUUGGGUUUAUUGCGAUUUGAAAUUUCAUGAUUCAUCUACGCGUUAAUUCCUAUUCUUAUAACUUUUUGCGGUGAAUAAUUUAAUUGCAUAGAAUUGUGAUUUUAAAAUUUUACUCUGUUCUUAAUAGUUCAUUGUAUUUAAAAAAAGAAAGAAAGAAAGAAAACAGCAUUAUAAUUUUGACAGAAUCGGAGAUAAAAUAGAACGUUGAAAGUAGCUAGACGAUAUCAAGACAACUUCAAAUUUCAAAACGAAAAAAACAAAGACAAAGUGCGGCGAGUGAUGAUAUCUUCUUUGCCGUUUCAACUUUUUGUGCAUUAUUUUAUGGUAUAGGAUGUUAUAGGCUUUCGAGGUUUCACGUCGCCUAAUAAUGCCUCUCUCUGUUUUUUGUUCGUAUAGUCUUGAUCUGGGUCUGGGCACAUGCUUUUUCGCUUUGUUUUAAUUUUGAAGAGCUGAGCUCUAUGUUGCCGCCCUAACGUAUAAAUUAUUUUUUUUCACAGAUAAAUUAUAUACAUGUACACAUACAUGUUGACGGAUAAAUAAUAAAGCGAAAGAGGAAAUUUGAUUUGAUUAAUUAUCUCUGCGUGCAUGUCAAUAUUAGUUGUUGGCUUUUUAUUUUUUUACUAGAUAACAAUAUAAACUCUUUCUAAUUUCAACGUCCACUCGUGGCCAUCAUUUUCAACGUCUAAUUGGAAGCAUCCAGGAGCAAUGGGUCAAUGCAUGGUGUGGAGCAGCGGGAUUUCAAAUUCAAUCAGCUGUGUAAAAUGGAUCUGGAAAAUGAAAAUGAAUCCAAGGGUGGUGGUGGUGGUGGUGGGCCAUCAUAACAGGAAGUAGGUUAUUUGACGAAGGAAAGAAAAGAAAAGAGGGAAUCCCGGUACAGCAGCCCCCUCUUCACUGAAUGACUUUUGCAUUAAAAGCUGUUAAAGGUCAACUCUACUUUACUGUCCCCAACUAACCUCUCUCCGAUUUUACCGAGUCAUCGAUUUCCAACGGGUCAUCACAACCUUUUGACCUUAUCCCCCUCAUCAUUUUACACGGUCUCCAAGCGGCUUAUCCCGUUACCGGGACCCACAUCAAUGAGGCAGUCAACAUCCUGACAAAAUCUGCCACCUGGGAUGUUUUUAUUGGAGGUUGGGUUCGACAGGUCAGUCAUUUCUGAUGCCUUGCAUUGCAUUUGCGAGAGGGCAUCAGUUUGACUCGAAUCUAUAACAAAACAAAGCCAAGCGCACCACACCCCCCACUUUUAUCAUCAAAAUCUUUAAUAAGUCAUUGUAUUGUUUCUUUGCUUUUUCCUUUUUCUUUGCUUUCUUUCAUCGUCAUUUUAACAAUUUUUCCUUGCCUUGGACAACAAGAUUUAAAUAGCCUUUGGGCUUUGGCUCUUAUUAGCGCUCGGUUUUAAAAGAAAUGGCCGUGGAGCUGAUGAUGGGUUACGGUUGCGGUGAUAGUUUUGCAGCAGCUGUGAAGAUGGAAGAGAACGCUGUACAAGAAGCUGCAUCCGAAGGUAUGCAGAGCAUUGGUGAGUUCAUAAAAUUAUUGUCUCGAAGUGGUCAAGUACCAUCUGAACAACAAACACAGUACCAAGAAUCUACAUCUUCCUCUCCAACAAAUCUCGAACCUGACAAGGAAAUCAAGGUCGCAGCUGAAGUGGCCGUGAACAAUUUCAAGAAAGUUAUUUCUCUACUUGGUAGACCAAGAACAGGGCAUGCAAGAUUCAGAAGAGCUCCUGUUGGUAGCCCUCCUCCUCCUCCUCCUCCUCCUCAAAAAGAAGAAAAAGUACAUCUUCAAGAACCAGCAGGGCCAUCAGUUCAAUCUACAAAUCAUCUUUCAAAGGAACAAGUUUCUGCCUUCAAGGUUUAUUGCCCUACCCCUGUUCAUCGUCUGCCUCCGUUGCCUCACCAUGUUCAGAAGAGUAAUCCUAAUUCUACGGUGGUGACUAAGUCCGAUCAUGUGCCAAGCAGUAUCAAUUUCUCAGCCUCUGCCACAAAUUCUUUCAUAUCCUCGCUCACAGGCACAGCAGGGGAUACCGACAGCAUACAACCUUCUUUCUCAUCUGGGUUUCAAUUUACCACACCAUCAUCAGCUGGAAAGCCACCUCUGUCUUCUUCCUCGCUCAAGAGAAAGUGCAAUUCCAUGGAUGAUGCUGCUCUCAAGUGUGGCUCAUCUUCAGGGCGCUGCCAUUGCUCCAAGAAGAGGUUGGCUUCAUUUCUUUAACAAUCAAUUUCAUUUGCUCUAUUUUUCGUUUGAUUUAAUUCUGAUUAUGCUUAUGUUAAAUUGAAAACGUGUGCAGAAAAUCAAGGAUUAAGAGAGUGACUAGAGUUCCAGCGAUAAGCUCUAAGAUGGCUGAUAUUCCACCUGAUGAUUACUCCUGGAGAAAGUAUGGCCAGAAACCCAUCAAAGGUUCUCCUCAUCCAAGGUGUGCAAGUGUUAACUGACUCGCUCGGUUCAUUUCUCGAACAUAAUCGUUUCACUACAGCAUCCACUAACACCUCCUCCUAAUGACGCCAUUCGGCAUUAAUUGUGUUUGUCUAGUGGGGCUGAUUGAUUUGACUUUUUCACCUGCUGACAUUAUAAUUCGAGUUGACUCAGGGCCUGAGUGUCUGAAUUCUCAUUAGUUUCUUUGGUGUCUCCAUUUUCAGGGGAUAUUACAAGUGUAGUAGCGUGAGAGGCUGUCCAGCACGCAAACACGUGGAACGUGCACUUGACGAUCCAAUGAUGCUGAUUGUCACAUACGAAGGUGAUCACAACCACGCCUUCGCUGUUCAUGAUGCACCUGCUGCUAUGGUCCUCGAGUCAUCUUAGUCAAACCCAUCCAACGGCCAGAAACAACAUUUCCGAAAAGAUGGAAAUUGCGUGGGGGCAGAUCAGGCGAUCAGCACCGUGCUCGGAUGGUCAACGUAGAUACUGCUGGGCUCUGGCGGUCUUUGGUUUCUCUUUUUUCUUGUUGAAGACUUUUGUUUAAAGAGAUUUAAAAAGAAAUAGUAAAAAGUGUAGAAAAUGUGGAUUUUGUGGGAGUUUGAAUCAUGCAAGUAGUGUUUUUUUUCCUUUUUUUUAAAAAAAAAUUUCUUAUUGUUCUUAUACUCAAAUGGAAUUUAGGCUUUUUUAUGAAUUGUAUCUAUGUACGCGAUGGUGGUGGUGGUGGUGGGGAUCUUGUUAGGAUGCUUACUUUAUUUUAUUCCAAUUUCCACUCGAAUAAUAUGCAAUUUUAAAUGAGAAAAAUGGCGCUGCAGUCAAUGGCACCGAAAAAUGUUUAUUAUUUUAGUGGAGGAUGUGUCGUUUAUGCGACGGUUGACCCUUAGAUAUCUUUUUUAAAGGGUUAGGAUACGUUGUAAUCACAUAAUUUAGGUGAUGAUGUAUUUUUUAUUUUUUAUUAUUUUGCUUGUAAUUCAUUCUUUAUCCUUAGAGCAAGGUGGGAUUGCCCUAUUUUAAUUAUGAUAAAUUUUUUAUAAAAAAAUGGUUGAAGAGAAGGACAAGUCUUGGUGGUGGUUUUGUCAAGUUGCAAUUGGUGUAUUUUCCUCGGGUGCUUUGAGAAUAAAGCGAUAUGUUUCCUUUAAGACUUUCCGAUGAAGCAUUUGUGACAGUGACCCCACCAAAAAUAGAGUGCGAAGACACUGCAAAGUCAAAGUGGCUGGUUUGGUUGAUGAUAAUUCGGCCUCCCCCACUAAUUGCUUACUGCUCUCAUGCACUUUAGAAUUAAUUAUGCUUUAAUGAGGAUUAAUCACAUUUACUUGGUUACUGUAUAGCUGGAUUCAUUUCGAAGAAAUUGGUAGUUCCAAAGACUCGCUAGCAAAAUCUAAGAGAAAGAAUUGGAGAUCUAAGUUGUUUGUCUUUCCAUGCUUUAAUCUGCAUCUGCGUGCGCGCGUGUGUAUAUAUAUAUAUAUAUAUAUGCGGAUAUUUGUAUUUUUCUUAAUGUAAACAUACAUGUUAUUAAAUCGUGCGGUAUAAAAGAAUUAAUUUUUAAUAAAUUAUAAAAUUGUGUAGUUUUAAAAAGUUAAAAAUUAACUAUUUAAAACUUCACAGUUUUAAAAUGUGUUCGUAUAAAAAAAAAAUGAGGACACUCGCAUGAGAGAAGAGAUAUAUAUAUAUAAAAGAAAUAGAGUAGUGGAGAAAAUUUGAAGGGUUAAGUGUGAAGGACUGUAGGGCCUUUUGCAAUUUUUAAAAGCCACACUUGCUCGACAACAUGGCACGGCAUCUAUUGUAACUUGAACCUUUGGCCGUAUUUGAGAUGUCUAUUUUUUAAAAAAAAAUUUAAAAUGAAUUAUUGGCUGACCAAGGAACCUGGUGCAAUUUAAAACUGCCAAUACGUUUGUUUUGUUUCACACUGUUAGUAACUUUUUGAAUUAUUAUGUGUACAGUUCAUUGUUAUAUGGAAUCUGUCUUAAUGUAAACACUUAUUUGUUAAGAGUAUUGAUUAUCUUAGAGCUAUUUUAAAAUAGAAUACAAAUUAUAAUUUCAUACGUAAAGUGGUAAAUAAUAAAAAAUAUAUUAUAAUUUUAAUUGUGUGAUUAUAAAAAUAUGUUCUACCUUAGAGCGAUUCCAACAUAACCAAACACUUGUUAAAUAAUGGUUUGAAAAUCUAUUCAUUUAAAAUCUAUCCUUAUACGAGAAAAGUUACUCUCUUCGACACUUGAACUCGUGCCCUCAAAAUAGGGCUUUAUUGCAUAAAACGAUUCACAUGAUUUGAUGUUUAUAUCACGGUCGAGAACAUGCAUGCGGUUGAGUUUUCCAUUGAGAUUCAAAUGUUCCAUUUUAUUAAUUGGUCAAAAGACCGUUGGUCAGUGCUCCUAAAAUCAAUUCUUCCAGUAUGGAGCACCUUCAUUGAUGAUUAAGUUCAUUUGUAUAGGCUUAUUUUCUUAGUCUAAAUUAUUUAUUAUUGUUAAUUAUGAAUCUUAAAUAAAUAUAAUAUUAUUAAAUAAUAUAACAGUAUUAUUUAAAUAAAAAAUAAAUAUGAUAUUUUUUUUUUAAAUCGGACAUAUUAUAUUUCAAUCAAUAGAAUUAUAUUAUAUUUAAUAACGGAAGGAUAAAAAAGGAAGAGGUGAAAGUGGAUUUCCACUCUUACCUCCCCCAAUCGGAGUGGGAAUCCCACUCUUCACUUAAAAAAUGAGUGGGAUUCAAACAGUGAAACACCAACUCAUCUACUUAAAUAAAUAAAUAAAUAUUGUUGUGGGAGGAAUCUAGACUUACUACUCCCACUUUAAUAAGUAAACAUAACAUUAUGUUAUCUCUUUCUUAGGAAAAAAAAAAUUGAAAAGAAAGCAUACUCUAAAUGAUACACAUGUUAUUGUAUAAUUGCCAAGAUUUCAUACUCAAUUACAGCGAUCAUAAGCAUGGGAUUAGCAAUCCAAACAAACAAAAGCACGAGGAGAUUGUUUUUAUAUCGAUAAUAAAGUCUCUUGAGUAACUUAUAAUUUCCUCUUAAGAAAAAAAAAACACUUAUAACUUGUUUUACAUUGCCUUUUAUGGUGCCAAUGAACAACUAACCGUACGCAUAAUUAUCUAAGGACAGAUUAGGUUCGAGCAUUUUUCUGGGUCAUAAGUAGAGUGUUAUAGACUAUUGAUACUUCUCCAAAAUCAUUUUUUAAGCCCUUGCAUAUUUAAAAACCUUUAUCAAAAUUAUACGGAGGACAUAAUGUAUCUAAUUAAACAUGUUUUGAAUACAUUAUAGAAGUGAUUGUUUUACAGGAAAUCUUUAAAUUAUUAUUUUUGCUAAAGAAGAGAAUAUCUUUAUGAUUAUGGGUUGUGAAUAAUAAGAAAGAAAAUUGAAAGAUUGUGAUUGAAUGGGAAAUUAUUUUAAUUAAAGUUUGCCACUGAAAGCGAAAGGGGUUUUUAAAGCGUUAUAAGAAAUAUAUUUUAUUUUAAAAUAUUUGAAUGGGUAAAUAAAGGGAAGUGUUUUCAAAGAUUUAAAUUGGGGUAUUAAUAGUCAAGAGGUAAACUGGGCUAGCAUGGUUUUGAGCCUAGGCCCACAAGUCCGUGUCGUAACUUGGUUUUUCAAGAACAACGAAACCUAAGGGCCGCUUUAAGUUUCAACACCAUGGGUCAAUCUCAUAUCAUUUGGCCCAGGUCCAGUCAAACGCAAAUUCCAGAAAUGGGCCUUCGGAAUGGGAAUUCUGUUAUGUGUUUUCAAUAAGUUUUGAGCUCACAUACUUAUUCUCAUUCCUUUUCUAAAUAAAUAACCAGUUCAAUUAUUGGGAUUCCGGAACGUGAUUUUUUAAUUUUCUAUUUUAAAUUAAGUAGAGCCAAUUACAAUAUGUGCUUUAAUAUUUUAUUUCUAUACUGAAGUAGAUUUGCCCUUUUUUUUAAUUAUUUUUAUAAUCUUUUGAUUAAUAAAAAUCUCAUUUAUUUUGUUCCCAUAUUUUCUUUACCCUCUUUAUCCUUAACCUUUGGAUUUAUCUUUUAACCUUUGAAUUAUAGCCAUAUCUAACCAUCACCAAGUCGGAUUUAUUCGAUGGGGUGAGUCACUGCCCCACAUCAAACUUAAAUUUACAGUCCGCUUCCGCUCCUACUUCGUCAAUUACCCAAUUUAUGUUCCCAUUAAAACAGUACAUUACUUGCAUCUCAAAUUAUACCCAACUGUGAACUCACAUGGCACCGUCCAUACCUGUGGGUCAAAAAGAAUUCCCCCAACAUAACUUGACAGGUGUGACACACAAGAAAAAUUAAAAGAAGAGCUAAAACAUAAAAGCAGCAGACUAGAGAGUGGGACUCACAGGCAGGAGGGGCCCUUACUUGCCUUGCCGGAACACCAAUCAUAAAGAGUAUGCUGGUAACCGUACACAUUAAAAGAUUUAGAUAUUAAGAGCUGAUACUUCUUUCAAUUGUUUUUUUUUCGCCCACUCCCUUUCCCUUCACGUGAUUCUAACCGAGUGUGCAGUCCCAGCCAGCUGCUUCUUAUCAGCUCUUACAAUGACAUUACAUGCUUUGUCACGUAACUGAAACCUUCCAUCACCGUCUCUCCCCUUUCUCUCAAGUCUCUGUCCUGUCAAGGGAAUGAAAUGGACCUGUAAUAGUUACUUUUUACGGCGAAAGGUCAAAUAAACUGAGAAGAGGAAGAAGAGUGCCCCUGUUUCCUGUUUCAGUUUUCAUCACACUAACCAAACACCAUGUCCAUUAGAAGAAAACCCCUUCUUCCACAGUUGUUAUUUUUCCUAUCAAAUACUUUUCUGUUGAUUACAUCUUGUUCUGCUUCUCGUUCUGCAUCUGCAGUGAACUCACUGCUGCCGUCUGAUGCACAAGUGCUACUGGCAUUCAAAGCAAAAGCCGAUUUGAGAAACCACCUCUUGUUUUCACAAAACAAAAGCUUGCAUUUUUGUCAAUGGCAAGGUGUCAUAUGUUACCAACAAAAAGUGGUGCGAGUAGUUCUCCAAGGCCUGGAUCUUGGCGGCAUUUUUGCUCCCAACUCAUUGACUAAACUUGACCAGCUCCGAGUCCUGAGUCUACAGAACAACUCACUCACUGGACCCGUUCCCGACCUCUCGGGCGUCGUUAAUCUCAAAUCUCUCUUUCUUGAUCACAACUUCUUUACAGGUUCUUUCCCUCCUUCACUCUUCUCUCUUCAUCGACUUAAGACCUUGGAUUUAUCUUAUAACAAUCUGUCGGGACCAUUGCCAAAAGAAUUAGCUUCACAAGGCCGGUUAUACUCUCUGCGUCUUGAUGUGAACCGGUUUAACGGUUCGAUUCCUCCAUUGAACCAAUCCUCUCUCAAAAUAUUCAACGUUUCUGGUAACAACUUCACUGGCGCUAUACCGGUGACAUCCACGCUGUCACGUUUUGGUAUCUCCUCUUUUCUUUUUAACCCUAGCUUAUGUGGCGAGAUUAUUCACAAAGAAUGCAACCCCAGGCCACCCUUUUUUGGGCCAUCAGCGACGGCUGCAGCGGCUCCACCGCCAGUGACUGUUCUUGGGCAACAGAGCGCACAGAUGCAUGGUGUUGAGUUGACUCAACCGAGCCCUAGGAGCCACAAAAAAACUGCAGUCAUCAUCGGUUUCUCAUCUGGAGUCCUUGUUUUGAUAUGUUCACUUGUUUUGUUUGCAAUGGCUGUGAAGAAACAGAAACAGAGGAAAGAUAAAAAAUCAAAGGCUAUGAUUGCAUCGGAUGAAGCGGCGGCAACGGCUCAAGCUUUAGCCAUGAUUCAAAUAGAGCAAGAGAAUGAGUUGCAGGAGAAGGUGAAGAGAGCACAAGGGAUCCAAGUGGCCAAGAGUGGAAACUUAGUAUUCUGUGCGGGCGAGGCACAGCUGUAUACGCUGGACCAGCUGAUGAGGGCUUCUGCUGAGUUGCUUGGGAAAGGGUCUCUGGGGACCACGUACAAGGCAGUGUUGGACAACCGUCUGAUUGUUUGCGUGAAGCGGCUUGAUGCAAGCAAAUUAGCAGGCACAAGCAAUGAAAUGUAUGAGCAGCAUAUGGAAUCAGUUGGUGGACUCAGGCAUCCAAAUCUUGUGCCGCUCAGAGCUUAUUUUCAGGCCAAGGAGGAGAGACUCCUUAUCUAUGAUUAUCAGCCCAAUGGCAGUCUCUUCUCGCUCAUACACGGUAAGUUCCUUUGCUCUUGAUUUUUUUUUUGUUUUUUUUCAUGUGUGGUGCAAUUACUCAGUGAGUGAGCCCAUUAGGUGAUUGGACUCGAUCUUGACUCGGUUUGACCGCGGUGACCCCUAGAAUAUGUAGCCACGUAGGAUUUUAAUUUGCAAUCGAAAUUAUUAUUAUUAUUCUAAUUUGGGGUUGUUUAUUAAAUAUAUUAUACAAGUGAAAGUGAUCCUUAAGAAAAGCAUAAUUACGUGCCUGAUCAGUUUGGCAUCGGUUAUAUCAUAGAUUUUCACGAGCAGCGAGAAUCUUGCUGCUGAUUGACAUUGGGAAUUGAAAUGAUUUAUUGCGUUCAAUUAUUUUAAUCAACAGUGGAAAGUACUCUACUCUUUUUACCUAACCAAAAUGCAGCGGCGCUGGGGAGACAAUUCAAAAAUCAAACCUGAAUUCAAGUGGAGAGUAACGUAGUAGUUUUGCAAUUAUUAGUGUAGUGGGUCCCACGUGGAUUGCCUGCGGACUCGGUCAAUUCGUAUUCUUUAUCCGAUGGUGAAUCGAAAAAUCCAACGCACCAUCUCUCUAGAUGAACUAAAUAAUAUUACGCGCAGGGAUGCGCGCAUGAACACACACACUUUUGUUGCUUUGUCCCAUUAUGGAGGCAGAAUCUCUGUUGAGUUAAUAAUAAUGAUAUGAUUACGUCCGAAAUGGCCAAUUGCAGGUUCAAAAUCAACAAGAGCAAAGCCACUACACUGGACUUCAUGCUUGAAAAUAGCGGAGGACGUGGCACAAGGCCUCUCUUAUAUUCACCAAGCAUGGAGACUCGUCCAUGGCAAUCUCAAGUCCUCUAAUGUGCUCCUUGGCCCUGAUUUCGAGGCAUGUCUCGCUGACUAUUGCCUCACUGCCCUCACGGCCGAUUCAUUGCAGGAUGAUGACCCUGAUAACUUGUUGUACAAAGCACCCGAGACUCGCAAUGCAAGUCACCAAGCAACCUCAAAAUCUGAUGUCUAUUCAUUUGGAGUAUUGUUGCUGGAGCUUUUAACUGGAAAGCCUCCAUCACAGCACUCAUUUUUGGUGCCUAAUGAAAUGAUGAAUUGGGUUAGAUCCGCCAGGGAAGAUGAUGGCGCCGAAGAUGAGAGAUUAGGUAUGCUUCUUGAGGUGGCGAUUGCUUGUAAUUCGGCCUCGCCAGAACAAAGGCCCACUAUGUGGCAAGUAUUGAAGAUGUUACAGGAGAUUAAAGGAGCUGUAUUAAUGGAGGAUGGUGAAUUGGACCCACUCUCUGGGAUCUCGUAGUUAUAUCGUUGUUGUAGUAACAUUUGUUCUUAGGCAAAUCAGCAAAUAUAUAGUGUCCGUAGCUAGAUGAAUGGAAUUUACCCAACUAUUUAGUUACUUUUUCUUUUAACAUUAACUACUUGGUUCUUUUUCCUUUUUUUUUUUUCCCAACUAUUUAGUUACUUUUUCUUUUAACAUUAACUACUUGGUUCUUUUUCCUUUUUUUUUUUUUUCUUAAAAUUAAUUCCUCGUCUCGGUUUACCACAUUGUUAUGGUGGGUUCGUAGUUUUGGAUAAUCUCUUCCUAACAAAAUUUUCAUCGAAGAAGAGUUUUCUAAUCACAAAUUUUCCUAAAAUAAAGGAAUUACUAACAAAUAAUAAACUACAAACCCUCCUAAAAUCAAUAUACAAAUCCGUUUAAAAAGAUGGGGUCUUGCACUCAAUUUAGCUUGAAUGGUGUUUACAGAUGCUCUAAGAUAGCCAAAUCUUAAAGGAUGAACCUAAAUUUCCUAAAAAAGUUUACUCCUUAUUGCACUUGUAUUAUUGAAUUGGAAGCCGUGAUAGAACCAUUUGUAAAUUAAUAUUAGUGAGGUCCAUCUAUGUUGUUGGAUAUGUUCUAAUUAACUUGGAGCAUCUCUAUCAUAAGAAAUCUCGUUUUUUUGCCAAAUUUUAAUAAUUUGCCGUUGAUUGCAUCAUCUUUUAAUUUUUACUUUUUAGCAUUUUUUUAAUAUACAAUACAAUUUUCAAAAAGUUACAUCAGCCAAUAGAAAUACAUAAUCAAAGCUCAACAUACAUAAGAACAAAGACAUACGAAGCCGAGCACCCAAAAAAAAAAAAAACUCAACUGUUUAGUAGAUUCGGACACUCAAGCCCUCCAUUUUAAAAUAAAAGGGAAGAAGUGCCAACUUGCAUGUUAAUAAUUUUAGUUUGACAAUAGAUAUAUAAUUGGAGUAAGAGUGGGAAUCGGGUUUAACAAGAAGAAAGAUAGGUCUUUGUAUCGAAUAUAUUAAAGGACUGUAAAAAUGAGAGCCCACAGAGUGUCUUGAAACCCAAAGUUAAAAAGAGGCCCGCCUCGUGAGAAAUUCGAACCCGAAUUCGGCAAUGAAUCCAAGUAACGUACAUGGACAUCAUCAUUGACAUACAAGUGGAAAAAGAGAGAGUGGUGCGCUGUUGCAGAAUUUGCUGGAAUCAUCAUCUAGCACAGAUAACACAAAAAUAAACAUAUAAAUAUCUCAGGGUAUUCCUGCAGGUAAUUUGAUGAUUGAGCUGGAGAAGGUUAUAAGAUGAGAGAUGACAUGGAUCUUCGUUCUGACACCGACAUAAUGGAAACUGACUCCGCCUCUGCCGCCGCCACAGCCACGGCCGCCGAAACGCAGCAGCAUCUGCGGCAAGUCCAAGACGUCGACCUAAGAGAGCUGCUCGCGUUGGCUCGCCAGCUCAUCAAUCAAGGCAGGCCUUCUCAGGCUCUCCAGGCGGUAAUAAAUCCUUUUUUUGUUUUAAAUUUUCUUUGUAAAAAAAAAAAAAAACUGUUACGAUUGUCAGUCAAUAUGACUUGACGUCCACAACAUUGAUUCCUGAUUUUCUUUUACAACAUCUUUCGCGUAUUAAGGAAUAGGGAUGUAUUCAUAUUCAAAAUAAUGAAUGUGGUAUGGCCACUUUAGCCAGUGGAUUUUAUUUUAUUAUUUAAUUAAUGGUCGAAACAGGUGGUGAUGGCGAUGAGAACCAGAGGUGGGGAGGAAGCUGUAUUUCGAUCACUGCACCGUGCGCGCGAAUUGUACAGAAAUAGAAUGCAAGAGAACACUGCCAUGGAUCAGCUGGCUGCUUUAUUUGCUGAAUGUGCCAUUGCUGAAGCCCAGCCCCUGGCUGUUGAACCAUCACCAUGCGAAAUAGCUAGUUCAUCAACUGUACCGGAUGCUGAUGGCUCUUCUAUACUUGCAGAAACUGGAAGAACGCAGAUUGUGCUGGAUGCAUUCUCAGAUGGAAGCAGCUUUGUAUGUUUACAGUGUGGGGGUCUUGUUAGUAAUCAUCGAAAAGAGGAGCACUAUGCAUAUUGGUGUUGCAAACUCUGAUUCGGAGGUAUAUGGCAUUAAUAUUUUUGCUCUUUCUUCACCUCGAUGCACCUACUAAGCUAUUGCCCUACUUGAAUUGCAAUUGACUGCAUUAUGUGAGUAUACACUAAUGUCAAUUAUCCUGGCUCUGGUCGCUGACUGGCAAUCCGGUGCCACUUCUAGGAUAUGUUUAGAGGUCAUGCUUCCGUCUGCAGAGGAGUCUAUAUUGAAACCAUGUUCCCCUUUAAGUGUAGUGUCGAAUCUCUACUCUUGCAGUGAUUAAAUUGCAUCAUCAUUGUAGAUAAAUGCAAGUAAAAAUUACCAUCAAGCGGUUUUUAAAGCUCUGAACUAUAAUAGUAUAUUACUAUAUCUAUACUUUGUAAUAUAAGAUUUUGAGGAUGGCGUGCUUUUAUUCCUGGAGGUCUUCCGUCUUUUACGGCCCCAAAACCCAACACCACCUGCUCGGCUGCAUUCACUGAUAUUCAGCUAUCUAGUACAUUAAUUACUUCAAGACUGCGCGUUCAGAGUUCGCUAAUUUGAUUAUAUCCCUCCCUUGUGUCUUAAUUACUAGAUAUUCAGCUAUCUAGUACAUUAAUUACUUCAAGACUGCGCAUUCAGAGUUCGCUAAUUUGAUUAUAUCACUCCCUUGUGUCUUUCUCUCUCUUCGUCAUGCAAUAGUGUUUUGGACAUGAGCAAUGAAAUCUAGCUCAUAUGCUGCUGAAAAAGAAACGAGGAAGUGCAAGAAUAAAUCAAGCAUGAGUCAUCAGUUAUGACGGGAUGGAAUAGUUGGUGCCCUGUGGCCGGUAAUUUGUCUGUGGACUUGUUGAUGCUUUUGAAACUUGAAUGCUUUUUCGUGGAUUGUUGGGUGCAUUAUUGAUUGGAUUCGAUCAUCUUGAGAGAAAAAAUAGACUUUUUCUCCCUGAUUUUAAUUGAUGGGAGUGGAAGAGUAGAAGGAAGAGAUUAGAUAACUCCAUUUUGUAGAGAAUUAAUGCAAUUGGAUGUUACUAUAAAUGUCUUCAUAUUCAGCGUAAUGUUUCCCUCCCCAUACCUUAGACCAUCUGCGGGUUGUUUUGAAAACUCGGACAAUGACAUAUGGAGAAUUCAUUAAUGGUGUGUUUAGUUGAGGGUUUAGGGAAUGGAAAUGAAAUUUAUGUUUACUUGUUAAAAUGUAAUUUGGGAACGAGAAUAAAAUGUGUGAGUCUCAUAUAAUUUGAGAAUAAAGAAUUCCAUUCCCAUGGAGGGUUGGGAAUAAGGAUUCUUAUUCCCUGAACUGAUUUUUGUAUUCGUUUAAUUUUUUCAUAUUUUUUGAAUUAUUCUCGUUCAAAUCACAAUUAAUUUUAUUAUUUUAAAUGUCGUUAUUAUUAUUAUUAUUAAAAAUUAUUAUUAAUUUUAUUAUUUUAGUUAUUAUUAAUUAUUUUUAUUAAUAUUAUCAUUAUUAACAUUUAUUAUUAUUAAUUUUAUUUUUAUAAUAAUAUUUAUACAUGUAUCUAGUUAAUGAAAAUUACAUUAUUUAAUACUAUAAGUAUUUUGGUAAAUUAAUUCUCAUUUAUAUUCUUUAUUUUUAUUUAUUUUGUCAAGUAAACACAUUAAUGACAUUCCAUUAUAUUUUUAUUCUCAUUUAUUUUUGUCAAGUAAAUAUUAAAAUCUCAUUCUCAUUUCUAUUUCCAUUCCUCAUUCCCUAUUUCUAUUCUCAGUCCAUUCUUAUUUCACCUCAUUCGCAGAAGUAAAGAAUAAUACAUCCUUUAUAUGGGUAGUGAUAUUAAUUUCAGUAGUCAGUUAUCCCAGAAGAUCUUGAUGCUAGGAAGAAUUCCCCAAAACCUAUCAGAGCUACAGUGGAAAAAGGUCUAAAUGACCAUUUCUGUAUAUUUGUACAUUCGUUCAAAGAAAACAGAAAAAGUAAAUGGAGGAGUGAAGACCAGUGCGUUCCAGCUGGAAAUGAUUUAAGCGUCGUAGGAGCAAGACUCCUUGAGGUACAACCUGUACAGUAUGUGAGUUGGUAAUUUGCGGUAGAAGAUGGAAUAGUCAAGGUUGACUCACGGUAUAAACUAAAAUACAGCUUAUUUAUUAAGGUGGUCGAAAAUUUAGUCAAUUCUUUUUCAUAAGUGUUAGUACCACUUGGCCCGUGCCCUUGGUCAGCUUGGUAUCAAAUAUACAACACUUGUUUGUUAUUACAAAUAUCUGGUAAAAUAUUGAUUUUGAGUUUUCACAAAGUACAUUUGUAAGAUAAGUGCAUUUGUAAGGACUAAUGUCUCAAGGGAUGACAAAAAUAUAAUAACAUCGUUAUGCUGGGAAGUGGAAAUGGAAUGAAAUGGCGAAUAUUGAGAAAAUAAUUUUCUUUCACUAUAAUGAGAUAGUAGUUGCUACCGACAAAAUCAAUAUUGCGCUUACACUCAAUAAAACCCAAAAUUAAUUAGACUGAAUACUAUUUCACCAAAAAAAAAAGGAAGAAAAAAUGGAUAUAUCAGACUAGACUGGACCUUCGUACAGAUGUCUGUGCGCUUGGGGUGUCUUUCAUCCCUCAAAAAAGUGUUGUUAUUGAUAGAAACUGCGAGUGUCACUUCUUCACCACCCGUGUAAUCUCAUGUAUCUAGCACCUUCUGGCAAAUUUGCGGUGAACCACCAACGACAAGAACACUACUAUACACAAUGUACUCCUAUUGCAUUAAUCACAGCCAAAAUUUCCAAUCUUCAUAAACCUGACUUUUCCAUCCGAGCUCCUUGAAGCUCUUCACUCUGUAUCCAUCAAGAGAAAGUGUAAGAUUCUGUUGUAUGUAAGCUAUGAGCAAUAUCAAGGCCAACCAGAUAUCAUGCCUGACGUCCCAACCAUAAUAUUUUUCAUGUAGUACUUGACAUCUGAAAUUAUAUUUUGUUUCUGACUAUCUUUUCAAAACAUUCUGCAACUAUCUUGACAUGAGUGAAGAAGUUUGCUCAUAGCCAUCGUAUCGACAUGUAAUAUUACCAGAACAAAUAGAAUUUAGCCCGAUACUUUUUAGUCAUAGGUGAAGAUAACAAUGUGAUAAAUACUAGCCCCAAUGAUGUAGACUACAUUAAGUAUAUGACUGGAAAUAGAUGUAAAGAAUACAUUACCUGCACUCCUUUUGUGGCUCGUCCGUGCACCAUGGGUUGUGAUCAUACUCGUGCAGAGAUUAGUAUAGGUAUAGCAAGAUUAAGCUUGUGACCAGGACCACAGAAUAUCACCCUGCAUGUGGCAGGGCCCGUGGACGAGGCUUUGCCCUCACAAUUGUUUCAUCACUGUGACGGAUCCAUUCUGAGAGUCUCCAUGGCUUUUGCCACUUCCAUUUAAAUUGCAAAAGCCAUUGGUGGUGACUUCUCUUCCAUCUCCAUAAUUUUCCACCCUGUCCUAGGGCUGCUAAUUUUUUCAUUGACAACUGCCCAAGGGGUACCCUCUGAGCUAACACAAAACCUGCUUAUGUCAGCCAAAGUAGGAAGGUGGAUAUCAAUCUAAUAAUAAAGGAUGGAAAAGGACUUUAACCUUUCUGUUUUGAUUUAUAAAUGCUGCUGACUCUCUUAUUGAGCCAUUGGCAAUGCCCGGUGUAUAUUUCAGUUGCUUCUGUGCCGGGACAGACAUUGGGGAGGGAGGACCACUCGUAUCAUCAGCAAAGUGUUCAAGUGAAUUGUGCAAGUUCCCCUGUCCAUGGCCAGGAAUGAAGAGUUAGAUGCACAAUAAUAAAAGUUUAGCAACACAAACUCUAGAAUGCUGAACACACUUCCAUCCAAUAUUAAGAAAACCAUUAAAAUGAACACAAUUUCUUGGCAAACCUAUAGACAGGCCUCAAAAGUCCUAGAAUUUUGUCAAAAAUCAUCUCAAUGUGUGCUUUCCGAUAGAGUAGUCUUCAUUUGUAGACUGAUAAAGUUCUAAAAGUUUUUAUAUGAUGCAUAAGAACAAAACUCAAGUGACGUCUAAUCUCACCGAAGCCGAUCUAGCCAGUGUGAUUGCAACAGCCUGUUCUCUCAAUUUUAGCUCCUCCUCCACUUCCUUUCUUCUUACCUCACUCUGUCGCAACAGACCAACAAGUUCUUUUAGUUGCUCUUUCAUUUCCUUGAUCUCUAUAUCUUUCUCCCACAGUUGACACCUGUUGCAAAUGCACAAGGGGCUAUUUAGAAUUGACCUCUAAUCACAGAAUUCAAAUAAGAGAAUGUACAUGUUCUGUGAAAUCUUUAUGGUUUAAGCAUAUAAAUCAAUGGCCCCCUGAUUAAAGGAAUUCUUUUAAUAAAUUCCAUUUAAUGUAUCCUUAACCAGAUCUACCGUUAGAGAUGCAUAUCACUCUCUGGAAUUCCAAUCAAUUUUGAGCACGGUUAAUCUAGUAGAUUUGUAUAAAUCAUGGAACUAAAGGUAUCAAUAUCCAAAAAAAGUCUGAAACUGAAAAAAGAUAAAAUAAAAUAAUUUGGGUUAUAUUUAUUUAAUAGAAAGCACCUUGCAUCUGCUAGAGAAUUGAACAUGUAUUGAAGCAAGUUCUUAGCAUCAGCCAUUGAACGCAACUGAUUCCAACGUCCACGGUUAGUGAAGAGACGGUCCCGCUCUUCUGCCUCUGAAAGUUGUGAAGCCAUUGCUACAAGUGAAUUAGAUGAUAUGCUCAGCAUAUUCUCAAGUGAAGAUAUUCGGGCCAUUCUUGCAUUUGGUGACAUAGAGGACACUCUGAACAAGCAAUUAAAUCAUGUUAACACGUCAAGCCAUUCUUCAUCAUUCCCAGACCAUCAAAAUGGAAAUAAUUUGGGGUGAAUAAAUAACUUUCACAACUUAUACCUAGCAAAUCCAUUCUUUCCCCUCGGAGGACUGAGUCCCUUUGAAGCAAACUCAUCCACUUGCUUCAGCACUGCCAACUCUUCCGCCAGUGCAGCUCGUCUGCAGAUUAUUUGUGUUAGCAUAAAGAAAGACGUUUUAAUUCAUAUUGGAAACAAAUAUAAAUAAUGAACCUACACUUGGCUCUGCUUCUCAUAUUCAAAACGAACUUCAUGCACAUUCACCAUGACCUCUAGCUCAUGGUCAAGCCACCGUUGAAAGGAUUUCUCAUUGCUCUACAUAUAUCAAUUAAUUCAAAAGUAUUAAUGAGAAUUAUACACAUUUAUUAAAAAUAAAACUUAUCAGUAAAAGAGAAAGCAAAGAUCAUUACCUGCCCAUUUGUUAAAUUUCCAUUUGUGACAGCUGGAAGAUAGCAUGAAAUUAGAUAAAUUGAGUAUAAAAGCAGAGGCCCAUGGUCUAAAAAUGCCAUGUAUCUGGUAAACAAAUAGCCCCUCCAGUAUAGUAACCAUUGAUCAAGUAUGUGAUGAAGAGUGAUGGAUUUUCUAAUCUUUAUAUAAGAGGUGCUGUAUGUUUACCUGAGACAAGGGCUUUCUAGUCAUCAGCCAUAAAAGGGUAAAACUGAAAGUGAAAAGUUUACCUGAAUUCUCACGGGCAGAAGAUUUACGUGAUUCCAACAACUCUUUUAGCCUCUUGGUGGCCAUUGCAGCCUCUUCAGUCUUUCUCUGAAGAACCUGCAUGAAAGAAAUUUGUUCCAGUUAACAGUUUAUUUCUAAUACGUAUAAAUCACGGAGACUUAUGAAGCCUUUUCUACCUAAGCAAUGGACUAGACUAAUAAUUUUAUUUUAUUUUUUAUUUUUUGAACAGAGUAAUACUUGAAAUGGACUCAACUAGAAUGGGCUCCACUUUUUCUUUCUUGAGGUCAAUUCGUUCCUUAUUAGAUUAUUUUGAAAUAUCAACUCAGGAAUUAGAACAUACUGAAUUUCAAUUAUAAUAUUUUGGGCAAUUCGGCAUUUAAAGCGAAACUUCCAUAAUAGGUUCUUAACUUGUCAAAGUGAAACAGCCUUAAAUAUGAUAGCAGUAACUGAACAUGCCAAAAAGUCGGAAACAUAGCAAACAGGGUUUGAGGGAGACAAACCCAUGAUAAGAAUCUAGCUGAUAAAACAAAUUUGAAGAAGCAGCAAACAUAUAUAAUGAAAAUUGGAAUUGAGGCCAGAUAGUUUGCUUUCUUAGACUUUUUGCUAUUAUCUGCUGUUUUCACCACAUUAUGAGGGCAAAGUCAGGAUGGAAAUCUUAAGAGGCAAAUAAAUUGCUACAUUCAGUGGUACAUUCUUCUUGGAAAUAUUAUUGAGAUAGAUUCAUAACAUAAGCAAGCAGGAAAGAUUUGCUCACCAAUUUCUGGCGUUGGUUCAAAGCUUGCAGCUUAUGCCUUUCAUACUCAUUUCUUCUUCCCUCCUUACGUAACUGCUUUCAUCGAUAUGUGAAUAAAUAAGUUAACAUACAUACAUACAUGCAGACAAUAUCUUCAUAAAGUUUACAGAUCUGAAGCAUACUCUAUACAUACUUUGUUUAAUUGUUUUGUUUGCGUUACCUUAUUCAAAUAUCUAAAGUAUAACUAAUCCGUAGGUUCUCUUAUUUAACCUCCUAAAAAAAAAGGUUCUCCUUCAGGAUGAAUAAAAUAUAAAACAGCUUUGGCAAUUAGUAAAUUUGACUACACAUUAUCAUAUGACUUUAUGCAGGGGUGAAUCCAAGCUUGCUCAGCUUGCUGAAUCUUUUAAUUCAAAUUAUUUAUUGGCAGUCAACCAGCUGCUAGAAUUCUUAAAAACGAAUUUAUAAUACUGAGUACUGCCACCGGGAGUUUAGGGUUUAAAGGAACAAAAGUGCAUGCAACAAAAUUGCAACUACAUAACAUUGUGCAAAGAUGAGAAUGAGUUUUGUAGUUUGCAGGCUUAACUACCUAAAGUAGAAUUUCAACAGUAUUGUCAGAAAGACCAAACCACGCCCCUUAAAGUUACAAACAAGUAGUAACAAAGAUACAAACGAAAAAUGUGUUCUGUAUAAAAAGAGAAUUCAAUGGAUCCCAACUAUUCCUGCUCCACCCAAUAAUCUUCCCUUACAUAAAAUCGAAUGGACAUAUAUCAUUUACCGGAAUGAGCAUAAAAGAUAAUGAUACUGCAUGUCUUUUCCAAAUUAUUUGUUUCACAGAACAAGUAAAGCACCUGCAAAAGUUCCUUCUCUCGAGAAGCCUUCCACUGUCGGAAUUGUUCAGCUUCUUGUUUUAUCCUAUGUUGCAAUUGAACCUACACAAAGAUGCAAGGGAACAAGAAGAAGAAAAUCAGCAGUGGACAGAGUAGAGACAACAAAAAAGGACUGAAAAUAACACGAUGCAUUAAAAGCCAAAGUGACAGUUAACCUUUUGAGCCUUUAUAAAUUGAAUUUCAUCUUGCAACCGCUUUGCUGCUUCAUCACUCUUUUGUUUCUGCUUUAAAAGUUGAACCUGGCUCUCCUGUUUUUUCUUGAGAUCCAGAAUCUGUUGUGCAUAGAUUAUGAAGACUGUUUACUACUUGAAUUAAGUUGUGAUAUUUAUAUGGAAUUGUGACAAAAGCCAACAUUACCUGUGCCUCAAGUGAUUUUAAUUUAUGGGCAUGUACAUCUUGCAAUUUUUGUGUUUGCCCAUCAGAAUUUGAGGCAAGAUUUUCAAUUUCAGUCAGCAAAUGAUCUCUUUCUUUCUGCAGCAAUAAAACAGGUGUGCAGAUGAGUCAUCUGUUAUUUCAAGGAGUGUGAAAAUUGAAGAACAGUUCAAUAAACUUCUUUUUGACCUGCACAGUUCGUUUUUCAUCCUCUAGUUCUGCUAUUUUCUUCCCAAAAUGUUGCUUGAGUGCUGCAGUGUCAGAGCCACCAACAAGUUUCAUCUCUGACUGCACAGACAUUAUAUGUAAAUUAUGAAGGGUGCUGAUGACUUCUUUGUCCAAAUGAUUUGCAAAAGUUGAAGAUAUACAGAAGAAAUGUCAGAAUGUAGAAGAAAAUUACUCCAGAAUCAUGAACCAGCCAACAGUUCUUAAGAUUUUUCUUUAAACAGAGGUAAAAUUCCAGGAAAAAAAAUGAAAAUAAAAAAAGAAAAAAAGAAAAAUCAUCAAAUAUUUUUUCAUGGGAAUCCAAACUGGGCCAGACUAUCUUCCAGAUGAUUGAGGAAGGAUGAGAUUAAAUGGAAGUACAUUACCCUUAUUAUCUCAUGCUAUGCUGUGUAAGAAGUUUAUGAAGUAAGAAUACACAGUUCCGAAAAUUGCCAAAUACUAGGAAUAAAAACAUAAAAAAUAUAUAUUCUGAUGAAAAGUACCUCUUUCUCCUCCAAACGCCUGUUCAAUUCAUUCAACUCUUUGUCCAUAGAAUUCUGUAGAAGUGUGUGCUCCCACUCCUUUGCGACUUCAUCAAUUUCUCUGGAAUCACCUGCCAAAAUUGACAUUGUAUUCUCAAUGUCAUAGAUCCAUUGAAAGGAAACUUGAAUUCACAAUAUCUGAAAGAGAAACUGAUUCAAUCCAAUAGAUGAAAGAACAAGUAGAAGACUGGAAGUCAUUUUGAAGCUUACCCAGUUUACCAAUGAUUACAGACAUUUUACCUAAUUACUAUAUCAGAGAAGUUUCAUACCUGUUAUAUUUUCACCCAUUUGAUAAUCAGUUUGCUCAAUACUAUUCAAGCUCCUUUUAAGCCCAUCACUUUUCAGAGGACAAGGACUACCAUCCUGAAAGAUGAAGUAUCAAUUUCACACGUAUAGUGAAUCAUCCAUUGAUCAAGCCUAACUGUAAUAAUAAUCAUGACUAAAGAAUUAUAGUCAACUCUCCCAUGUCCUUUUUUUUUUUUUUUUGUGGGAGGGCAACACAAAAGAUAAAAUCUCCCAUCUUUUAACAAAAGGAGAAAAGAACUAAUGGAAGAGUUCCAAAAGACAGAAGACAUGUUCACAUACUUGAGCGUCUGUUUCACGCUGCUCUACAUCAGUGCAUCUGCUGCGGUAUUCAUGGAGUUCACGGCAAAGAUCUUCAUUAGCAGCUUCAAGCCAAGCAAUCCUUUCCUUGAGAACCUAGGCAAAUGAUUAAUGAGAUAACUUAUGAAAUCGAUUAAGAUACAACUAUCUCCAUAAACGAAAUUGAUAAUUAUUUUGUUCGUUCAAACCAAACUAUCCUUUACAUAGAGAACCUCAUAAGUUUUACCAUAGCGUAAAGUAAUUAAUCCAGUAUAAUUUUUCUAUAUAAGAAGAUGUGAGAAUAAAAAUAUUGAAAAAUUCUUAUGAUCAACAGAAUAUCCAAGGUAAAAAUUUAGAACCCAGAUACCUGUACUUCAUCAGACGAAGAUCCUCCACCACGGGCGCAAAGUUCUGCCUGCAAAAACUCUAGUUGUUGACGCAUCUUCAGCAUCUCAGUGGACAUGGGAUCUCUGUUGACCUAUUUAAGACAAUUCAAAACCAGAAAUAAAAAAAAUCAUAAAUGCAUGAAAAAAAUUGUGCCUUUACACAAGUGUAAAGAGAAUGAAAUCAACAAUUUUCUGUUGAACUUACAAUAGGCUUAUUUUGUAUAUUUCGAGCACGAUUUGCAUAUUUUAGAGUGUUGAGGGUUUCCUCAGCAUUAAUAUCAGCAGGACUAAUGCAGGCUGUAGAAGGUAAAAUUGUAUUGAUAUAAGAAAUAACAUUAAGAUCACCAAUCAAAUGUCAGAGAUUGCCAAUGAAAAACCAGGGUAAGAAGGAACUAGAAUAUAUGAUUAAAGAUAAAGGAUUUACAGAGAUCAAACUUGAGGAUAAAUAAGUUACCUAUCAUAACAGUUCGGCUGUUACCACCAAGUGAAUCCUGCCAAAAUACCUGAACUUAGUCUAAAUAUAUAAAUAGAAAAGGAUGAAAAUAUUUAUAAUAAAAAACACAAUAACAAUUAAGAAAAAUAUCAUCAUAGACUCUCCUAAAGAGUUUCUGAAAAUCACAUCUCAUUUCAACCCAUUAUUUCCACAAUCAACUGGCCGGCUAAUACCAGAUUACGUAUGAAAUGCUUAGGGAGAAAAAUUCCUAUCAAUAGUUCAAUCUUUCUGGACCAUACUUCUUUAUACUAUCAAACUAGACUAGAUAAUUUACCCCUUGCAUCAGACGCAUCAAGUUACCUGCAAAAGCCUAGUAAGUUUACUGUCCCGAUAAGGCACAUGUACGCCUUCUUUGCGCUUUUUAUCAUCACCAAGAGCGCUGAUAACGUUACCAAGUGCAAGAAGGCCCCUGUUAAUAUGAACUCCUGUUUAAAUGUAAAUGCUCUGUUAUCAUGUUUUGACCAAAAGCACAGUAUGAUUCUACUUAUGAGAAAUCUCCACCAACCUUCCUUGAAACGCAAACCAUCAGAACCAGUUCUUUUGGCCCUCUCUGAUCCAGCAAGAUCUACCAAAUGCAACUUGGCACAUAGAUAUUCUUCAUUCAUACUCUCAUUAGGACUGCUGUCUCCCAGAGAAACUGGACUAAGCUUACGCAUUUGCUCUAGGGUGAUGGUGAAGAUGGCAUGUGAACGACUGUAUGAACACAUACCAAAAAUAUACACAUGUUAACAAAUCUGAUAAUACCUCUCAAAAAAUUAAAAAAUCUGAUAGCUACUGUAGAUUUUACAGUCAUUAUAGAGAUGCAAUGUUUUUCAAACCAGCAUGUUACACAAAUACAAUAUUCAAAAGGUUUAUUUGGGAAACUUUUUUUUUUAUGGAGAGAAAUCUUUGUAUGAUCCCAGUAUGUCCAAAAAUACUGAACUAAUAUUUGGAAAGGUACAUGACAAAUUUGGAAAGAUAAAGAUCUUUUUCCAUAUGAUGGAAGGAUAUUGUCAAAUAGCAGUUAUAGAUGAAAUUACCGAAACUUAAAUGUAACUGAUCAAAACAGAGUAGUAAAGAUUUACCUUGAUUGAUUGUUCAUGUUUGUACUCCCAGUUGCCCUGCUCAAUGAUCCUUGCUCUAAACAGGCCGCCAUUUCUUUUAGUGAGCUAACACUAACUUCAGUGGAUCCAGCCAACGUAAUAACACCAUUUGAUGUUUCUCGGAUUUGUAUUGGAGGUUUCCCGGGUACAGUUACUUUUCCUGUGUGUCCAUUUGCAGUAUCUGGUUUGUUCAAACAAGGGGGAUCUAGCAAAUCCCGUACCUCUUCUUUUAGAAUCUUUUGACAACACAGGAUUUUUUGGUUAGAUAUUUACCACAACAAUGCAUUAUACUAGAAACAUAUAAUAUUUUAGAAAAUACCCAAUUAUGUAAACAACUCUUCAAACCAUGACUUCAGCAGUACAUAGUUUGAUAGGGAAAUUCAGCUCAACAAAGAUCGAAAGUUUCAUUCAGUAAAACAGGAUGCCAAAAAAAUAUAUGGUAGCUAGAGAUUAGAAUUACUGUGACUAUGUUGCAUAACUGAACAGAAUGCACACAACAAGGAAUCUCAAAUUGAAAUAGUUGAGAAAAUGAUUUAAAACAAAGAAGCUACAUGAUGAAUAUAAUAGACAUCUUUAUCUCAUAUCUGGUUUGUUCAAACAAGUGGGUGUAGCAAAUCUCGUAAUUCUUCUUUUAGGAUCUCUGACACAGGAUUUUAGUUAGAUAUUUAUCACAAUAAUGCAUUAUAUUGGAAACACAUAAUAUUUCAGAAAAUACCCGAUUGUGACAAAAAUUCUUCAAACCGGAGCUUCAGUGGUACAUUGUUUGAUAGGGAAACUCAACUCAACAAAGAUUGAAAGUCUCAUUAAAACAGGAUGCCAGAAAAACAUAAGGUAGCUAGAAAUUAGAACUACGGUGACUACGAUGCAUAAGUGAAUCAAAUGUACACAACAAGGAAUUUCAAAUCUAACUAGUUAGAAAAUGAUUUAAAACAAUGAAGCUACAUGAUGAAUAUGAUAGACACCUUUUGAUCUCAUAUGACUUCAUGACAAGCAACAAAUACUAGAUAAAUAUAUCCUGUUUAGUACUUUAACAAAAUUUAUCAAAUUUUCUCUUGCAGGGAUUUUUCUGUGUUGCGACGAGGAACAUAGAUUUUCAGUCAUAUGACUGAUGUUUGUUCUGAACUUGAUAAAUUUUUAAGAGAACAAUGCUGAGGCUCAUAUAUAGAAGAUGGCACCACAGAGUGUAACUGAUGGAUAUACGAAGAAGAAGAAAGGCAUCAACAAACCUCAAUGAAGGAAACAUGCAAUUGGAAUUCGGUUUGAUCCUUUAGAGUUUCGAUUUUGCUGAACAGAACAUUCAUAACUAGAGGAAUUAUUCCCGUUUGGUAUCCAUCUUUGAAGCCAGUUCCCAUUGUAUAUGUUUUUCCAGAUCCUGUCUGUAACAUAUUGAAACGUUAACUGAAAGAAAGAUGAUUACUCAAGCAUACAUUGCUUCAAUUGAGCAGCUUUUUCCACGGAACAUAAUCUUUACCUGACCAUAAGCGAGGACAGUUGCAUUAUACCCUUGAAACAAACCAUCAACAAGUGGAGCAAUACAUUCAUCGAACAUGGCAGAUGAAGGAGAACCAGUGCUCCCAUAUACAUGAUCAAAAGUAAAGGAGUGUGUCCCAAUUUGUACCUGCAGCAUAGUAAAAACCAGCAUCAGAAAACACACACGCAAGCACAUAUAGACACAAAAAUUCACAAAAUUACAAGCACUGCAAUUCAUAUCUUAUAACUACUGAAACUCCAGAAACCUGUUAAACUUAAUUCACAAGUGGAAAUUCUGUUACUCAAUAUGAAACGGAAGGAAUAUUUAUGAGACAGCUUAAGUGCUAAAAUGGUGUAUCAUGUUUGGCCCUUUCAUACAUAAAGUACCAUAGAUAUUAAUCAUAUUUACAUAGAAAUACUUCAAAAUAUGAGAAUAGAGACGGGGACAAGCUGGGUGAUUCCAGAAAGUUGCAGAAGCUUUAGCUUGAUCUUAUAGUAAACAACAAAAAUGCAUAUGUAAUUCAGAUUAAUAAUAUACCGAUUGCCAAUAUGAAAUGUAGCAGACGCAGUGAACAGGCUACAGAAGAAAUAGCAAGAAGACUUACGGCACUGUUCAAUUUAAUUAAAUUUUUUCCUUAUCUCCUGAAACUUAAUUAGCUGAGGACCACUAUGGGAAAAAGCUGGAUACUCGUAAUUUACACCAAUAAGCUUAGGGACAGGCUUUGCAGAAGAGAGUAAAUGGACCAGUCUGAUUAUUCUAACGUUUUUCCAUAAAAGCAAACAAAGGCCAUGGCAAGGAAUUUCCUGAAUUGCAUCAUAACAAACAACAAGCGCAGCCAUUGCCUCUGAUUGGAACUUAUGAAACUAAUCCAAUCAGCGGAAGUAACUAGUGAUGACUAAAUUCUGUCAUCCAAGUCAAAAAUGCAAGACUCUCAAAAUUCUCACAAGACUGUUCAGCCCCUUAAGAUCCAGAUCUUCGUAACAUUUUUAACAGUGAAUUCACGCACGCUGAACAUUCACGUUCUUACUACUGUAGUGUUUCCACUUUCCUGCAGUAUCCAUACCUGAGGCUUCCCGGGAACGACAGCGACACAAUCCUUACAACCUUGUGCACGUUCGUCACCAAUGAGCGGUCUUACGUGCACGGCAACCUUCACGCAACAAUCCUCUCCACCGCCAGUUUCCAUAUGAAGCAGCUACGGAUUAAUUCGAGACACUUUUCAGAAACGGCAAGAACAGAGAGAACGAGCGUUAUUAAUGUGUCUGAAAGAUCAAUCAGUCUCAGCUAUAAAACCGUUGUCAUUGUCUCAGAAUUUGGAGAAUUUCGGACAAAGAAAGUGAUGAAGCUAAUAAGGGAGCAAGAUAUGAAAACUAAGAGUUAAGUUUCAGACAAUGUGUUAGAGAGAGAGAGAGAGAGAGAGAGUAUGUGUAGGAAAAAAAAUGGUAAAAGAUUAGAUACAGAGAGAGAGAGAGAGAGCGAAGGGUAGUUGGGGAAUUAGAGGAUGGAGAACAAAGAGGGAUACAAGUAGCAACCGAACAGUUUAACUACAAAGACAACAACCACUAUCAUUUUCCUUAGGCUUCACUGCAUCACAACAGCUUUCACGGUUGUGUGCGCGCAAAAGUUAAACUUUCAUGACACUCUUUCCCAUUUUGCCCUUCUCCUCGCACAACGACUCUCACCUUCCUUCCUUCAUGGCGUCGUCCCCCACUUUUCCGGAUCACUUUUACGGUUUUACCCUCUCUCUUCCACGUAUAAUACAAGAAUACAAAUCAUGAUUGUCCCCACAAUACAGUAGAAAAAAGAGGAGAUGGCACAGCACACAAGCCACGUGACAUGGAAUCAUAUAUUGAUUUCUUGAGAAGUUUUGGGCACGAGCAGACUAAAGAGGACUCCGUGUACAACUAAAUUUUUCUUUGCAUGUGCAGUGCAUGUACGGGAUUUGCUCUAUGAUUGAGAAGAAAGUGAACCGUCCUUAAAUUAUGUACAAUUUUAUUAGAACAUACACUAGCUUAAAAAUAAUAAAUGCGAAACAAAUGAAUAUUAAUUUUCAUUACCUAACUACCAAGGUCUUGAUUUAAAAAAAAAUUAAAAAAAUAAUAAUAGUAGCGUUGUCAAUGAGUUUUGGUAUUUGAUAGGAAGAAGAAAGUGAUGUGGGGGAAGGUGGUACUGGCAAUGGUAGAGGAAGAGAAGUAAAGAAAAGGGUGGGGUGGGAGAGAGAGAGAGACCCACACAAUAGACAUAGCCAGCUGGUGGUCUCCCAUCCUCACAUGGCCUUUUAGUGUCUGUAGACCUGACUGGACCCCACUUUAAAAACUUGGUCAGACCGAAACUGGUCCCCAUGUUUUUACUGAUUUUGAAGCAGUUCAUAAAUUCAUCUUUGGUCUUUUGCAACUUUAAGGAUCAUCUUCCUGUGUCAUGCCAACGCACCCGGCUUAGCCUGUGGAUACAAACCAAAUUAUAUCAUGACCUACGACCAUUUUCUGUUUUCUGACCUUAGAUUUUAAUUAUCAUUAAAGCCUUUUCGAAAUCUCUCUUUCUUUAUGGUUUAAAGGAGCUAGCUAGAUCAGAUCAGAUCAGUGAGUGAGUCCCUUGCAUACUUGCACCAAAUGUACUUUUGUGGCUCAGGAAAACACAUGCGGUGCACGAGCCGAUCAGUGUAAUGGAACAAUUUGUGCUUAGUGUUGAGCAUUCAUGGGGUCGUUUAAGAGGGGUUAAAGCGGACCCUGGAAGUAGAUAAACCUGACCUUCGGUGAUGAUAAACAUAGGGCUGUGCACGUUUUGGCCGGCAUUGGACCAGCGUAUCUGUUACAUGAAACUGUCAGAUAAAUAGUUUUGACAGCGAUGUUGAGGAUUUUAGGAUUGCAUUUUAAGCAGGCUAAAUUGGUUUUGCAAGCAUCAUCACGGGGUCAAAUCACAUGAUUUUUACUGUGAUUUUUUGUAUCCACAGAAAUGCAUAAACGAUAAAAUAAGGUUUUAGAAGGUUUGAUAAGAUUUCCCUACCACAUAAUGGAGCGUGCCUUACCUUUUUAAGUGGGCCUUAGCUGAAACAUCUUGUUCUUGUCAUUAUAAUAUUUCCAUUCUGGGAGAGCGUAACCAACUAAUUUUGCAAAUUUUGAAAAAGAAUAGAAAGUAUCUAAAUCUUGACAAUUAUUUCCCAUCUUUCAGGUGCUGUGCAAAUGUGGACGUAUUUCCUAAUUAACCCGUUAAAAGGCCUAAUAACGUACAAGUGACUUUGCCAUGUUGGCAGGUGGGUAAAAUUUUACCAUUCCUCUGCCUUUCGUAGCCUUUUUCUUUGCUGCGGUAGACUGCAAGUUAAGCAAGCCGCUGGGGAAACCAAUCCAAUUGGCUUCUGCAGUAAUCUAUCCAGUUGCGUGCUUCAUUCACAAGAAAGAAUUGCGAGGGCAAGAAAAUGAUGGAAAAAAAAAAAAAAAAAAAAAAGCUGAUGCAAAGAUCCUAAUCUGAAGUUUCGUUUCACAACCUAACUCUCCAUUCAUUGGAUUUUUCAUUUUUCCCAAUUCGGCCGUUAGUUUGGAUGCACACCAAGCAACCACAGAGACCCCACUUAAUGACUUGUGCUGGUUCAUCAGCUUUGUCCAGGCAUUGUAUUUUGCAAUUUUAACCUAUAAUAUACGAAGAAUUACGAUGAUACUUCUUGUAUAGCAAAAGGGAUUAAUUCUGUCACACGGUUCUUCUAAUACUAUGUAUGCGCUCUUCAAGUUGUCUUGUUGUCAAUCCCCCGACGGAAACCCAACACUGCGUUAUCACUGGAUCAUGAGAACAGUACAAGUAUGCAACGAUGUGACUGGGGGAAAAUUAAGUCCAUAGCUUUUUUAGUUUACUAAUUAAAUUUCAGAGACCAGUUGCUACUUCUGCAGAAGUGCGUUCUUUAUUCUACCCUCAGUGUCACCCGACUUUUUUCGUUAUGUGGAGCUUAGCAUCACAUGCUCCUACCUGCUUUACAUCACACUAUGACUCUCAUUUCUCAGUCCUUACUUUUUAUCCCAGACGCCCUCUUUCUGUCCCCUCUCAUUCUAUCACAGCCCCAUAAGCAGCUCUUUUUUAUUUACGUGAAUAAUUUUUAAUACCGUUAUUAAACUAAGUUUGGAGUGCAUAUCUUAAUGUCCAAUCCCAUUGUUCUGUUACUCAGUGCACUCAUUUUUAAGCACAUUUAACAUAAUCUUAAAGGGGUUCAUCCAUAGAGGAGAUAUGAUUCCACAUAGGCAUAAUGAUCACCGUGGCCCUUUUGUCAACCCAAAGCCAAUAUACAAUCUAAUGGUGCUUUAUUUUUAGUUUUUCUUCUCCAUCAUACAUUGUCUUGGAUAUAAACUGCAAUAUCGCAGCUAAAGCUCAAGCUUUUCCCCCUCUUAUACAGAACCUUUAAGUUAUUAAGCUUAAAAAGCAUUUGAUUUUGAACAGUGUGGAGACAUAGCAUGUGCAUUAUUGCUAGAAUUCAUUAUGCGCAUGCUUCAUUGCGUGGAUAGGCAUACAUCUAGCUGUGGGGCAGGCUCCUCUCAUGAAAUGGAAAUACUUUUUCUGUUGCUACUUGUAUCUAGUGAUAUUCAUUCAUCCAAAUCGAUUGUGUUGAUGAAUGUUAACGUGGAUAAUCUUCGGCCACAGAACAAGCCUUCCAACAAUUUCAUGGCCAUGCUAUAUCAUUCAUUCAAUCAUUGUUCUGAUUAACAUUUUAAGGUCAAUGAUAUUUGGCAAUUCUGGGUUCGUUUAGGGUCAUAUUGCUUCCUUGUGAGGAUUAGAAGAGCACACUAGCACUUGCUUCCGUAGAAGUCACUUAUUUUAGGGGAGAUUUGAAUUUGAAACUUGCCUUCACAAAUCCAUAUCUUCUCUUUGUUUAGUUAACACUUAACCCCUCCUCAUAUGAACCAAAAAGCAUAGACCUCAAAUCACAUUUUGGAAAUGUCGAUUAUGUAGUGUUAACAUUUUUACGAGUUUACAGUUUAAACGCUUGAAGAGGGAGAGGAGUUUGGAAAUUGAAAGAGAUUCCAAUGUGACCUCGGGCUCAUUUUCAACUGUUGAAAGGAAGGGUAUUGUUACACAUUUCAAAAUUUAUCCCCAAAAAAAAAUCCUUCCCAAAUGAGUGAUUUAUUGCGCUUACAUUAUUUACAAGCGAUGCCCAAGUUCGAACGAGUUUGAUGUUUCCAACUUUCCAUUACUCGCUGCAGAGAGCCUUGUCUUUUAUCUGGUUUAUGCGUUCAAAUCUUGUACCAGGUUGAGCCCUUUUUGGGCUCCAACAAACUCUAGGCCCAUUUUUUACUUUAAAAGCCCAACAAACUCAAACUUCAACGGACCUACGUGUGUGCGUGUGUGUGUGUAUAUAUAUAUAUAUUGAAAUGAAAAUUUCGAAAAAGGAGACCGAAAUAAAAAAUCAUACUAGUGCAUUGUUUUACACUUUCACUUUAACUCAACACCAAGCGACUGGGCUCAAACACUCUCCGCUCCUCAGAUAUAAAUAGAGAGAGAGAGAGAGAGAGGGGUGUCAUAAAAUUCAAUUAAAAAUUUUUCGGUAAGGACUACUGUAUUAAUAUAUAAGUUUCAAGUUUGUACUAAAAAGGUUGUAAUACAUAAAUAUGAAUCAUGGAAGAAACAAAGUAAAAUUAAGGGUUGGUUAUUCAAAUCCACCAAAUUCUUCUUUAUACUCAUUUUAAAAAAUAAUGUAUUAUUAAAAUAAAAUUUUAAAAUUACCAUUCACUAAUCUAUUAUGAAUGAAUUGAUGAGAAUUUAUGAAAUUGAGAAGAAAAAUAAAAUAAAUGAUUAAUUCAGUAAUUUUUUGAAAAAAUUAUGAGUGAGACUAUUUGAACCCACCGAUUUCCUUCCUACAUCUUUUUUUCUAAUUAAGAAUUUUAUUAUUUAAAUAAUUUUUAAUAAAAUUACUUAAUUAACCGUUUCUUUUCUUUCUCAUCUCAAUUUCAUUAAUUCUCAUUAAUUCAUUCCGAUAUAUUUUUUUUAACUGUAAAUAAUUGAUGUCACAAACUAAGAUAAACAAAAGCAACAUUUUAAAUUGAAUAUCAACAAUUUCUUAUCAGCCAUAAAAUUAAUAAAUAUCAAGAAAUUGAUUUUUACUAAACAUAAAAGUUGAUGAAUAUAAAGAAAAAAUUCUUAUAUGCAAAAAACAUAAAAUAAAGAUCACGAUCUUAUAAGAAAUACCAAAAAAUAAAUUAUAAAAUAGUAAAAUUGAGUGUUUAAUUUAAAGAAUGUAAGAAUAGAGAUAAUAUUUAAUGGUAAAGUAGGGUGAAAAAUAUUAAUGAAGAAAAAAUUUAAAAUUUUGAGAUUUUUAAUUUUUUAAUGAUAAAUUUAUUUUUUAAAACAGAUAUAAAAAAAAAAACUUGAUAGGUUCAAUUAAUUUCACUUAAAAAUAUUUAUAUAAUAAAAUUCAUAAUUAAACAGCGUAGGGAGUAAAUUGGUGAGUUAGCCCCAGCCUAAAAAUGAUUGGUCCGUGGUGGCAAGCAUUUAGAAAAAUAAAAAUUCCCUUAUGUUAUGUCGGUGCAGAGAAUUAAAAAAAGUGGAAAGAGAAAGUAAAAUAAUAAAUAAAUGGCUAAAAGGACGAAGCAUAUCUUCGUCUUCGAGUCGGCGUCGUGAAAUAUAGAAGCAUGGAAGUUGCGUAAGCUUCAAUCUUCCGUUUAAGAAUAUCAGAAGUCAACAUCCCGGGCAGCAAGCACGUACACGGUACUCGGUACUCGGUACUCGGUACUCGGUACUCAUAAGCUUGUUUCUUCUGCAAACAAACAUUGAUUAAUACAGUUAGUUAUACAAGCGAUCAUAAUUCAAACGUAAGAGUCAUCAUGUCGGGUGGUAUUGCUCGCGGCCGUCUCACAGAGGAGCGAAAAGCCUGGCGCAAGAAUCAUCCCCACGUAUUUGAUAAUUUUUUUUUUUAUUUUUCCUUUUUGUCGUUUUAACCGCUCGCUAUUUUCAGUUCUGUGUCUCUCCAUUUUAUUUGCACAAAUGUUGUGAGGUUUGAUUUCCUGUUAUAGGGUUUUGUGGCCAAGCCUGAAACCAAAGAUGGUUCCGUGAAUUUGAUGAUCUGGGAGUGUAUCAUUCCUGGCAAGACUGGGGUUAGUCUUUCUUUUACUGAGAGAGUGAAAGUUGGGAUUUUUUUUUUUUUGGGGGGCGGAUGGGGGGCGCUUUUGUAUAAAGUUUUGAUCUCGAAGUUUAAACCUUUGAAUGAUUCAAGGUACUGUGUAUUAGUUAGGGGUUAGAAUUAAAAGUUGUUAUAUUUUUCAUAUAUUCUUCAAUUAUCUGUCAAUGUUGUUUUUUAAUUGUAUGACCUUUUAUACAGCAUUGUCUGAUCUCUGCCCUGCGGGGAUUACUGUACAGUUUUGUAGUUCUUAUCAAUUUUAUUCCCCUGUUUCUUGUCCCGCGGCUCUUUUCAAGCUGCCCAGUAAUUUGGAAGAUGUAGUCUCAGUUUAAAUUUGCUGGAUGCUCCAAAUUCCAUUCUUGUCUAAAUGUCUCAUCAACUAAAAGAUCGAUAUUGUUGAUUACGUUUUUGAGAUGCAAACAAUAUCAGAUGAUUAGUUUAACAGACAGAGUGGAGAUACUGGUGCCAUUUGCUUGUCCACUAUUGAAUCUCCUAUUUUAGACAAUUUUAUGGUGAUUUACAAUUUUAUUUUUUUUCCCCCACUGAAAAAAAAAAAAAAAAAUGGCAGGGCUUAGCUUUAAGUUUUAAGGGAUGUGUAUAGUUACUUUCUUGUUAGUACCCAUAGUGAUUACAAUGAGAUGUUACUGCCUCAUUUGAAUAGUACCAUCCUUCUUAAUCUUGCAGACUGAUUGGGAAGGUGGCUACUUUCCUCUUACUCUCUACUUCAGCGAAGACUAUCCCAGCAAACCCCCAAAGUGUAAGUUUCCUCAAGGUUUCUUUCAUCCUAAUGUCUACCCUUCUGGAACAGUAUGCCUGUCAAUCCUCAAUGAGGACAAUGUAAGUUCUUCUUGCCGCUUUGUCAUAUACUUCCAAAUUAUGUAUGGUAGUGGAUUAGCUAAAAUUUCCAGUUUAGAUGACAUGAUGGCUUUCUUCUAGGGGUGGAGACCUGCCAUUACUGUGAAGCAAAUUUUAGUGGGCAUUCAGGAUUUGCUGGAUCAACCCAAUCCUGCUGAUCCAGCACAAACUGAUGGAUACCAGCUUUUCAUCCAGGUGCUUUAUUGGUUCAUAUAAACUCUCAGUUUUAAGUUUACUGUAGUUUCCAUUCUUAGUAUUAAAGAAUGCGGCCUUUUCCUUAAGCAAUAUGGCUUGACAUGAACAGGAUCCUGCCGAGUACAAGAGAAGGGUGCGACAGCAGGCCAAGCAAUAUCCACCUGUUAUAUAAUGCAAGCUUGCUUAAAUGGAUAUGAGUAACUCAUUUGUUACCUCACAUGGUUUAUGUCCAUCAUUAUUUACUACAGUAAACGCAGUUACAAGUGCACCAACUUUGGUGUUGAACAUGUUAUAAUAUGCUACCUGUAUCAUUUGUGAAGGGUGCUUUUAUUGGCUGUCUUGUUUUCUUCCUGUUCUGUUGACCGUUUGGCAACUUUUAAGGGUGUUACAAAUUAUGCUGGUAGUUAUGGAUAUUGCAAAUUAUGCUGAUUGUUAUGAAGUUAUGUGUUGGCUUUUCAAUUAAGUAUACAAAGAUGGAGUAGGUGAUAUAGUUGCUAAUACAUAAUUAUGAAAUUUUUUGGCAUUUAAGACUAUACAGUUCUUUUCUGGAUACAGGUACCUCAAUGAUUAGUGGGUGGUAUUGCUGUGUUGUAAGUUGCUUAAAUAAUUUGUUGCUUAUUUGAUGUGCUUGGUUGAUACGGGGUACUUGCAAUUGCAGUAAAAUCCGAGUGGGUUGAGAUUAGCAAGGUGAAUGUGUGAAAAUACUGGGAACGACAUGUAAAAGCUGAUGAUAGAAAGUGGCGUCAGCAAAUGUAUAAGUGUGGAAAGUAAGUUUGGGUGAGAACCUGAGAAAAUGAUGAUGGUAUAUGAUGCCACUGGGAGGAGGAUUCUGGUGGAUCAGCUGAGGGUGACAACCUGAGAAAAUGAUGGUAGUAUAUGCUGCUACUUCUGCUUUGACAAAACAACAAUUGAGUUGAUUUCUAGUACUUGUAGAUAUGAAGGUUUACACUUGUAUAUGCGUAUAUGUUUUUUUUCAAUAUAGUGGGUUAUUACUUGAUAUCUGAUUUCCACCUCUUCUGUGUUUCAAGGCUUUGCCCUUGGUGGCAUUUGAGAAAUUGCUGGUAAAAAUUGAUAGCCUGUGGUAAUAUCAAAGGUUUAUAACUUCACAUGAUACAAUUAACAGUUAAAAAUGGCAUUUUGUACAUCCAUUUGUGCCUUUGGAGAUCCUAUGUUCCUUGUACAACUGCCUUCUUUGCCAUUUCCUUCAGAUGGUUUUGCAUUUUUCCCCAUCUGUACUGAUAUAUCACUGUUCUCAUGACUGCAUAUGUGCCUUCUUGAUCUUACCUUUCUUUAUUUGAGGUGAUUCCUCAGUUUCCAACAUCUACCUAAUUUUUGGUGCCUAUUUGUACCCCGAAUCUAGGCCCUUCACUUACCAGCUUUUCAUUGUGGAAUUAGCAUAGCAAAUAUGACCUUAGGAAGUCAGGCGCUCACCCGUGGAAGUACUGAGUUGCAGUCCCACUGUCAAACACCAUCUAAUCAAGUGGAUGUUCAAGUAUCAAAACUGUGGCGCCCAUCUAUUACUGUCAUCUAUGGUUAGUCUGUUCUACCAUCCUUGUAGUUACCUUUUUGAUAGUCUUUUAGCACUUUUCAUCUGACAAUAAAUGAAUGGUCUGAUUCUUAAAAUGCGCUGGUUAUAUUUGUGGAGUGAAAUACUGAAAUAUGCUGAAUAUAUUUAGCCUUCCAAAUGAGAUCCAUUAUUUAUUUAUUUAUAUAUUGUGCGGGGACAUAUGAUUGAAGAAGUCAAUUUAUGGCGUUUUGUUUUAUAUGCUGACGAAGAAUUGGAUGGCAGUUUAUUAAGUUCUGUUUCGCAUAGUCCUAUAACCAACUGAAGAGAGUAGAAUUUAAUUAGCAAAAGCUAGAGGAAAUUAGGACAGCCUUCAAAAAUAGACACGAUAUUAAAAAAUUGCCAUUUCACCGGCACCCGAGGAUUCGCUCACAGCCUUCUCAAUCAUCUCCUUCACCACAAUUAAACUCCUCCUCUAUCAAUUGAGUCCAUCUCUUAGCCCCAGCCUCCAUCCACUCCUAAUCUUAGCACCCGAGUAACCAACCUCUCGAUAUAAAAUUGCUUACCCGAGAUUGGCCGAGUCAUUGUUGGCAGCAUUCUUAGUAUAGCUUCAUCUUCAAAUGUCAGCUAGUCAGCUAUAUAUGAAAACUCAAGUGGGGAGACGGAACCUGUAAUUUCUCCGACAAUUUAAAGAAUCUUCCGUCGAACCAAGAGAAAAUUUAAUAGGGUGGAAUUUUGUGAACUUAUUGUUUUCACGUGUCACAAUUUGGUUCAUAUUUCAAAUAAGAUCAGACCAAGCGGUGACUAAAUAAGAAGAGACCAAGCAUGGAAUGAAAGUUGCAAACUUGAAGAGCUUAGACAAAAAAUUUUAAUAAAUUGAAAGCCAAAACAUAUAAUUUUCAAAUAGUUGAGCUAAAGUGUAAUUUGAACCUGUAAUUUGAACCCUCAUUGUGGAUUUUUUUUGUUUCCGCCGGCCCUGCUGUACCGUANNNNNNNNNNNNNNNNNNNNNNNNNNNNNNNNNNNNNNNNNNNNNNNNNNNNNNNNNNNNGUGGUGGUGGUUGGAGAUAAUAAUAGGAAUAAGCUUGUUCAAAAUUUCAGGGCGAUUCAGCGGUAAAGGUAGCAAAAAUUUGUUUGUUAUCGGCAAUAAUUCUGUAACUUUGUUAUGGUUCUUACUAGACUAGAGUUUGAUUUUGAUGUCAUAUGACUCGUGUCAUACCUAAAAAAUCUUGUUUGUUCUCCCUGUCCACAGAGCUUGACCAAACAACCCAUAUGAAAUACGCUCGUUUUUUUAAUUCUUAUUCCUUUAUCAUGUGCGUUAGGUGUUGCAAUAACGACGUUGCGUGGGCACCCAUUAGCACUUGUGUCACUUUGCCAUAGUCUUUUGACCAGUGAAUAGGUGUCAUGUUUCUCUUUAAGGCAUUUAAUCUAGAAUCUGAGGUUGAUUUGCUCCGUUCUCUUUCAAUCAUAUCAUCCCACAACAUGUUACCAACAAACGGGACUCGACUAGCUUACAGAAUCUGUCAGGUACAGACUGCAGCAUCAGCCGUUGGAUGUGGUUGGAUGUGGAGUGAGAAACUAAACAAUAGAAAAUCGGAUGGUGGGAUGACGGGAGAUGUUUGUUACAGAAUCUGUACCAUAGACAGGUCCCCAACAAACGUAUUUUCAAGCAUCUUAUUUUGACCUUCAACGCAUCCCAACAAAUAUUUGACACCACAUUCUCUGUUUUUAUUUCUUUAUUAAUUUCUCAUUUUUAAUUGUCAACCAAUGCCUAUUUUUUUCAGUAUGCUGAGCAAAUUGUCUUCUCUUUUUAUCGAAGGAUCAAACCAUCUUAUCCUGAGUAAGGAGCUGUAAUUUUAUCUAUCAAUGUGGGGCAUUAGACAAUCUUUAACACUUUAAUAGUUAGAGCAUUUGUUUAAUUUAGCUAUUUGGCAGAUUAUCCCCCAAAGUGUUUGAUAACUCUUGCAACUUAACUUUGGCAAGAUAAUUGAUUAUUUUUUCACAAUUAUUUACUGAAAAUGAGCUCUAAAAAUGAAAGUUACUUGACAUCUAAUAUUUUUUGGGAAAUUUACGAAAAUAAUCAUAAAAUUUUUGCUUGUAUUAUUAUUGUAUAUUUAUAGUUAUAAAAAAAUUAGGUUUUAUUUCUUUUAGUAAGUUAAAUAUAAAAAUAACGAAUGGCUCUUUUAAAAAAUAAAUAAAGAAAAUAAAAAUUAAUUGGUUGUAUUGGAUUUUAACACGUUGAUACAUAAAUCAAUCUAAUAACAUUGAAUUUUUAUUUUACAAUCCAAUCCAAUUCGAUUAAAGGUCAAUCCAACAAAAAUUAGAUCGAUUUAGAUUAAAUCAAUCGAAUGCCUAUUUAGCUCUUUUCAGUAGCACUUAUCGUCAUACUUUUCUUUUCUUCUUUUUCUUUUUUUUUUCCUCGAGGGGGGUACAAGAUAAAUCCAAACUUUAGAAGCUCCACUUCAAAAAAUCAGUUGCGUCACGACGCAUAAAACCAGCAAAAACUGUGAUACGAGUCGUUUGAUAACAAUCGACAAUCACAAUUAGGCAUUAGCCUUGUAAUAAAAUUUAUAUAAUUUUCUUAAAUUAAUUAUAUUAAUGUCUAUUUCAACGACAAGUACCUAACUUAGCGGUCAAGGACGGUCCGCCCGGAAUCUGCGGGCAUAAUUAACAAAAUAAAUUUGAAUAAAAAGCAUGGACCGUUCGUUUUCGACAUGGUUAUGAUUACAGGACUUGACUAGCUUACAGAAUCUGUAAGCUACAGACUGCUGCAUCAGCCGUUGGAUGUGGUUGGAUGUGGAGUGAGAAACUAAACAAUAGAAAAUCGGAUGGUGGGAUGACGGGAGAUGUUUGUUACAGAAUCUGUACCAUAGACAGGUCCCCAACAAACGUAUUUUCAAGCAUCUUAUUUUGACCUUCAACGCAUCCCAACAAAUAUUUGACACCACAUUCUCUGUUUUUAUUUCUUUAUUAAUUUCUCAUUUUUAAUUGUCAACCAAUGCCUAUUUUUUUCAGUAUGCUGAGCAAAUUGUCUUCUCUUUUUAUCGAAGGAUCAAACCAUCUUAUCCUGAGUAAGGAGCUGUAAUUUUAUCUAUCAAUGUGGGGCAUUAGACAAUCUUUAACACUUUAAUAGUUAGAGCAUUUGUUUAAUUUAGCUAUUUGGCAGAUUAUCCCCCAAAGUGUUUGAUAACUCUUGCAACUUAACUUUGGCAAGAUAAUUGAUUAUUUUUUCACAAUUAUUUACUGAAAAUGAGCUCUAAAAAUGAAAGUUACUUGACAUCUAAUAUUUUUUGGGAAAUUUACGAAAAUAAUCAUAAAAUUUUUGCUAUUUUUACAAUUAACCCUCUCAACUUUUUUCUAUCAACAUUAGCCAAACACACGCUUGUCUACCCAAAUUACCCUUCUUUACAAACCAAAAGCAACUUUCUUUCUCCCUUUCGUCAAACCAAAUGCAGCUUUCCACUCUUGAAUCAUCAACCAACGGCGACGGCAAAAGGCAACGAUAAAAAUGAAAUCCGAUCAUAAUCUAUCUGAAUCCAAUACUAAUCGGCAUCACAUAGUGAUAUGAGUUAUUUUCUGAACUUGCUCGAGAGUUUCAGUGAACUGCGAAUUGUUGGUGAAUUUAGCGACAUGCUGUCUGUCGCACAAAGCUUGGUGCGACAGGCACCAAAAAUGGAUAUCCCUUGCCUAUCGCACCAACACUUGGUGUGACAUGCACCAAAAAUGGAUAUCCCUUGCUGAAGUGUUGGAGGAAUGUGUUGGAUAUCCCUUGGUGAAGUUGCCAAGUAUCGUGUUCUUCCCAUGCAGCAGCCAAGUUAGAAACUGGGGCAAAUGGGGCCUUAACUCUCUAGUUUGGGAUUUAAUGUUUGAAGAAAAUUUCGAUUUAUUGCUGCAGCAGCAGCUAUAUAUUGCCAGGCUGCUAGCCAACUUAGAAUUACAGAGCUGUUUAGCUGAAAAUGAACUUCGGCAAACUGUUACUCUUGUUUCUGACCAUAGGCUUGGUUGAGUCAACCGGUGCUUUGAUGUUUGCCUUCGAUGGCUUCAACACUUCAAAACUGUUGCUUUAUGGCAACGCAAAACUGGAUUCUGGUGCCAUUUCACUCACCCAAGAUACCACCUUCUCCAUCGGAAGAGCUCUCUAUCAUGCUCUGGUCUUCAUCUUCGUGCCUUCCGCAGGCAUCCAAGGCGCUGCUGCAUCUCAAUAUCUCGGCUUCCUGAAUAGAACAAAUGAUGGUAAUAUGAACAACAAUGUUUUUGGCAUCGACAGGAAGAUCACUGCAGAGAGAGGGGUAUUUUAGUCUCAAAGGUCUUUUUAUGGCUAAUAUUGAUAGAAGUUUGUUUGGGGGGUUAAGAUGAAAAAAGUCAAAAUGUUUAUGGUUAUUGAUGUAAAUUUCCCAUAUUUUUUUACCAAACACUUGUCCCUUGAUAGCAAUCAAGAACUUUCAUUUCACAACACCUUGGUAACAAACAAAAGGAGCCUCAACUUUCUAAUGAAUCAACAUGUAAGUGUUUUAUUUAUUUAUUUCCAAUAAAGGAGCGUACAUUGAACAUUUGAACUCCUGAAAAAAAGCAUAUCAAGGAUCAAUAGAUUGGACAACUUGAAUGAAACAUCGGUAUUAAAUAUGUACAAAGGAAUGAAUUCUUGAGAAGGCAAAAGUAUACAAGACACCAAGUUAGAAGAGCAAAAAUAUACACCCUCUAGUCCUCUAACUAUUUGCAGCGUCUGUUUCUGUCAUGUAAGUUUCGAAGUACAAAGUAGUCGUCGAGAGUCCGAUGUAGAAAUCCAUGGCGCUCGCACAAGAAACACAUGACUCAAAACGGAAGAAAAAAUAAUAAUAACAAUAAAACAACACAACUUGCAUUGGUGAAAAUUUGCUUGUGAUCGACCCUUUAAUCUCCUAGCUACAACACUGUGUUUGGUGAUCGUCCAGAACUCUCCAAUACAAUUUCAAAUAAAUCAGCCUCAGACUCCUCAUCAAAUUCCUCUGUUCGAUUAUUAGCACCAGUGUUGUGACCGCCUUUGGUUGAGGAUCGGUUAAGCCAUUGAGAGUCAAUUCUUCCCAUAGAGAAGAGCUCUUUGCUGUCCUCAUAGCCUAGUGCUGCAGCAGGUGGGUUUGCAAGAGGGCCAAUGAAGCACGGGUUUGAUGUUCUUUGUGCAUUUGCUGGUGCAUAUGUGAAAGCACUUUGUCCAAAAUUGACAAGUAUCAAAACAUCAAUAUUUGCCGCUAUAGUUGGAUAGAGGGGAGUUUCAAAUUCCUCAGAUUUGCAAUUGAUCACGUGCACCAGCUCUGAAUCUACUGUGAAGAACACUUUCUUUUGCCUCGGAUCAAACCCACAACCAAUCACCCUUUCUGUUCUUCCCCAUUCUGCUUUCUCGGAUUCAAAAACAAGCUUAAUCCCUGAAAGAAAAAGAAAUCAUAUGAUUGAUCUUCAAAAAGAAUUUUUAUUAUUUUAUUUAUCCAUUUUGUUCUUUUGUGGCCACCACAUAGAAGUCACUUGAGCACUAAGAAUGCUAAAGAAGUCACUUCACCACUAAGAAUGCUGAAAUAAAACUGUUUAAAAAUUGAGUUAUACAGAUAAUAUAGCAAUAGUUUAUAUGACCCCUAACUAAAAAUUGGGUCAACAGCUUCAUACCUACUUUAACAUACAUUGAAGACAGGCUAAAUAAAAGGAUCUUUGCAAAUAAUAAAUCUCUAUUAUAAGCCAUGAUCAUGUCAUAUAGUGGGCCUUUUAUCAUUAUCUUUCACCAAUAUUGGGACCUUUUAGGUGGAAGAGAUUUAUUCAUUAGUGGGAUGCUACUGCUCGCUGGUACAGUGAAUAAUAUCGUAACUGUUGUAUAUGUUGUAACUCUAGCCAUGGAAAUUAAAAAUAUAUUAAUAAAUAAGGAAAAAGAUGAAAGAUUUUACCGUCCAGAUAGACAGAACCAUCAGAAUUGAAUCCGAUUGAUCCCGGAUAACUUCCGGGGAGUCUCAAAGGAAGGGAGCCACCGGGAGUGAGCCCCAAAGACAACAUUACAACUUCGCCCUUGCCAUCAUCUUUAGCAGCAGCAAGCUUCAAUUCUUCAACCUUGUUCACACUAUGACUGCUAGUAACAUGGACUAGAGAUUCGGAAUUCGCAUUUGCAUAAGAAUUUUCUUGGAUGAGUUUAGUCUUCUCGCCUUCUCUAGUCUUUCCAACUGAUUGAGAUUGACCAUCAUCGCGAGCAUACAGAAUGGUAAUUUCAAAAUAGGCCUCUUGAGGAAAAGCAGAGUUGCCCAGAGGCGGCCCAGGCAAAGGCAGGGCUGUUCUAAUCACGGCAGCAGCAGACAUAAAAGGGCUGCUUGUAUUAACCUUCUUUAGUCCUGAAUUGAGCCUAAUCUUUUGCAUAAAAUCUGCUGAUCCUUGGCACACGUCCCAGCUUAUAUCCGCUUGCGUUUCUCUUCCGUAAUCACCAACCGCGCAUAUUCCUAAUAGGCUUGAUCUAGUGGACGGAGAUGACAUGUAGGUCGUGAAACCAAAUCUAGACCAUCCAUUUUCGACAGCAUCUGUCACAAGUUCCGGAUGAUCAGCCCAGUUGAACAAUGGUUUGGCUGAAACUCCACGUCGGAAAACGUAGUAAUUUCCUCUCCUCUUGCUAUCUAAAUCAAGAUGAUUAUGCGGACUCGGACCGUUCUGUUGAUGAAGCUGCUGCGGAAUCCGAGUUUGAAGACUCUCGGGGGUUGUUUGGUUCGCGUCAACAAAAUCCUUACGGUGUCUGUUGCAACACCAUCGCCAAAUAAACACGAUCAAAAGCAUUAUAAGAACUCCUGCGGAAAACGCCACGAGUAUAACAUGAAGCAUCUCGUAUUUUAUGUGGGAUUCGGAGAAUAGUUCUGUAAGGAAAUGGGGCAAGAAUAUGGAGAGGCAUCCAAUUAAGAAGAAACAGAGGACAGGUCACAGGCCGACGCAGGCGUGGACUAGGACUGAUUCAAGAAAGGCAGGAGAGCAAAAUAUUGUGCAAGCUAACGCAGUAAACCCAAAAAAAUAAAAAAUAACGUGGGGUUAAUGUAUUAAUUUAAUUAAUUCUAAACCGAAAAUAUUUCCCACUUAAAAAAAUAACGCGUUCUUUGAUUCAUUAAAGCUUGUGUUUGUUUAUGUCGCUAUGCAGUCACAAGCACUUCUAGAAGGGCCACGUGGGCAAAUACUUAUGGUGGGCUGCCACACUUUUCUGAAUUGACUUGUCUGACAAAUGGAAUUUAUGGAGGAGACAACAUGGAGAUUGGUUAAAAGGUGACGUGAAUGAAACAAAGGAACAUCAACUUAUUGUAGUACGAGUUUGGGAAGUUUUUUGUCUGACUAACACAGUAAACAGUUAAUCCUAAAAAUGUUGUGACCUCUGCUAAUUAACAGUGGUGCUGUCUGUCUAAUGAUUCAAUUCUGUUUAAACGAUAAAAGAAAGCAAUGAACACCAAUCCCUCGUGAAAAAGUUCAUUAAAUUUGGGUAAUUGAAAAUAAUUUGUUUGAUUUGCCCUCCUUUCCAUGACUCCACAUGUACAUUCCAUAUAGAAAUUUUGUCUCAUUUGGAUUUUGGGCGACAGCAAAGGCUAACUGUGCCUAGAUACAUCGGAGGGGGCACGCGCCUAGUUUUGCCAAAACCAAUUUGGGGUGCAUGUGGGGAAAAGUAGACGUGGGGACUUCAAUUCUUGUGUUAUAGCCUUUCUUUA